GGUUUUUUUUGGUUUGUCUGAACUCUCGACUAUAAAUCCAGUUCGACAGUUUUUUUUUUUUUUAACCUGUAAAUCUCUCUCUCUUUGGUUCCUUUCCUAAAAGCUUUCUUCGCUCGCUGCCCAGCUGAAUUUCUUGUGCAGCGUUAUAUUUUCCUAUUUAUGUAACACUCUUGCCUUUAGUAUUCUCUAUUAUCUUAAUUAUGAUUUGCCUUUUUAUGGGAUUUGAUCGUUUCUUGAAACUUUGGUCGUGGAUGAUGUUAUCAUUUCAGGACUUUAUUACUCUUUGGGUUCGCACACAUAAAAUAACGCUCCCAUGAAAUUUAGACUUUAUUGAACAACAUCUUUCCUUGCGGGUUAUAUGCUUUACUUGAUCAAUCAAAACGCAGAUGCCUCAAAUUCACUCCUUCUCUUCACAUAAAAUAACGUUCUAGACUGUAGAAUCUCCGACUGCCUUCGUCUCAUGUGUCUUCCUUGAAACUCUUGAUCUCAUCACCUCUUUCUUCUCUCUAUUGCAGGCUAAAUGGUUGAAGAUUCGAGUGGGAUUGUUUGACCCGAAUACUGCUUUCUGUCGCUGCUGCUUCGCGUGGAGGUUCGGGGUUACCACAAGCUACAAUUAGAGAGAAAUAAGAGACAAUCAAAGAGGAAGAGAGAGGGGUUUUGUUAUGCUGAAGAUAAGGGGCAGUGCUGGAGAUAGAAGCAGUAUCAGUGUGCUUGUGACUGUUGUACAAACAGCACAAGAAGAGAGAAGCCUUUCAUCAGAUGUUAUCCAUUCAAAACCCUCCACCAGAUGCCCCAUGUCCUUGUCAAUUUCUAGUACAGCUGAAAAGUGGUGGUGAUGAGAUCGAGAGACCUCAUAAACUUCCUUUGCCUGAAGUAGAUCUGCUAAAGCAGCCGUCUCUUGAUAAUCAUCAUCAUCAUCAUCAUCCUAAUAUCCCACUCCCCGAAUUCUCCAUAAGGUAAUUUAAUUUGUGUUCCUUGUCCUCUAUCUAGCGUUAUCUUCAGCUCGAAAAUGAAUAGUAACCUUGAUGCGUUUUCUCAUGGCGUUCUAACAGCUUCUCUUUUAUCUUUUCUUAAGACUUUUCUUGGGUCAGAUCCAGAGUUUGAUGUUACCUGGUGACUCAGUUCAACAUGGGGCCUAACUAUUGACACACCCUAAUCUUGUCCCUAUUUUGGUCUUUGGAGGGGGCUUUUGCUUAUGAACUCCUUCACGGCACUUAAUACCUCCAGCCAUAAGAUGAUAUUAGUCAACCUGUAGUUGGCUCUUAUUUCUUGGUUGGGUCUUUGAUUUCACGUCACUUUGUACUUGGGAUUUUAUCUUGGAGCAAACUGCUGGGAAGUUCUUGCUUUGUCUUUGCUACCUGUGUACUUGUCUCAUCCUUUACCAUAUCAUGCAGCAGGCUGAGAGUACUUUCAUUUUUCCUUUUCUUUUUUGCGGGGGUUCAGUUUAAUAGAUUACUGAAUCUUGGGUUUUGUUUUGCUUGGCUGUUUCUUUGCUGUUGAUGUGUUCCUCUCCUUCGAGUAUUUUUAUGGUCCAUGUGUCCCCCUCCUUCCUGAGUUGGCAUACAAUGUCAUUCUUCUAAAUUUUAACCUUUGCUUCCCCUAAGAAAGCUCGUGGAUGAGUUAUUACUUCUUUUAUUAGUAACCCUUUGAGCAUAUAUGAAUUUUUGAUGAAUUUUAUCCCAGUACUGACAACAGAGAACAUCUUGUACUGUAGAGAUUAUGUGUUCACUGCCCGAGGCAAGGAUAUCAAGAAGAAUUGGCCGUUUUCUCCAAAAAAUUUGCAACUUUGUCUGAAGCAUGGCUUGAAGGAUCCAUUGCCACCAUUUCAGCCUCUUGAUGUGGUAAGAAACCAAUCCGUAGAGAGAUGUGUGGUUGAAACGAAUCCAUUUGAGAGGCAAAAUACAAGGAAAUUCGAUGAAGAGCCAUCUGGGCCAAACGAUCAUAUGGUACUAGAGUCAUCCAAUAAUGCUUACUCAAACCAUAACCUAGCAGGUAUUUGCAUAGACGAUAGCUUGUGCAGAUCCGGAGGAGAACAUGAAAAUGAUUUACCCUCCACAACGACAAGUGUUUCUCAAUCUGAAAUAGAGUCGGUUUUGAUUAACAAGGAAUCCAACUUACCAUUAGAAACCGAUACUUCAGUGGAAGCAUCAGCUGAAGUUCAAGCUGCUGUUCCUUUUAAGUCCCAUAAGACCGAAAACACAACCCGACCCACAGGAAAGAAGUGCAGAUUAAUAGUGAAAUUUGGUGCCCAUUCUGAUCGUAGCUCGCCUGAAGAUAUUGCUUCAAAUUGUACCAUGCUAUCUGAAUCGAUGGCUUCUAAAGUUUGCCCUGUUUGUAAAACUUUUUCGUCCUCUUCUAAUACCACCUUGAAUGCUCACAUCGACCAGUGUCUUUCUGUUGAGUCAACUGCCAAGUGGACAGCGGAUUCUAAGCUUACCAGGCAUAGAAUUAAACCAAGGAAGACAAGACUGAUGGUGGACGUAUAUGCUACCGCUAAAUCAUGCACAUUAGAAGAACUUGACAGGAGGAAUGGUACAAGCUGGGCCACCGCGUCAAAAAUCCCUAGACAGGAUUCUGAGAGACUUGAAAUAUCUGAUGAUGGGAAAAAGAAAAGAGUCUCCCCCAUUAAUCCCGAGGAUACUAGUGAUGCAGGUGCUGUUUAUGUUGAUGCCAAUGGUACCAAACUUCGGAUUUUAUCAAAGUUUAAUGAUGUGCCACCAGUGUCAAAAGUUGGAGAUGAUCUUGGAACGCACAAAUCUUUGAAAGGAGGUAAAGGAAGCAAAUUCUUUUCAACCAAAAAGAAAAGGUGCCAUGCCCCAAAACAUCACAAGUAUCUCAAACUUGCUCCUCAAAGCAGAAAAUUUUUCUCGCAUAAGACCCGUUCUUCAACGGUAUGACUCUCUUUUCUCCAUAUGGAUCUUCUGUCCUUUGUACCAGAUUAUUUUAUAUUUCUUUCUUAGGUGCAUUUGAAGAAAUUUUCGGUGUGUAUUUGUUGUUAACUAGCUGAUUGGGUUAUCUUUCUAAAUGCCUAGAAAACAUAAGUAUUUCUGAAGUGAAAAUUAAACAACCAUAUAUGCCCUUAGUUGCAGAAUCCUCUCCAUGUUUUUGUAGUUUGUGAUUAUAACUUUAGCAGUGGCCGUGGUAUCCACUUAGCUGCCAGAAUAAUAGGGUGUAAAAUAUAAAUGCUUUCUUGACCUAAACAAAAUUUGACUUAUCAUCUUUGAUGCAAAUUUUGUAAUCUAAGAAUUUAGUAUUGGAAAUCAAUACAGUUGCUAUACCGUUUUUAAACAGAUGGUUGGAGGACAAGAAGGAUACUGUGGAGUAGAAGAAAGACCUCGACCACAUGUGCCAAAGCAAAUCAAAUCCAAUGAUUCUAGAAACUUUAGAGAAAGGGUGUGCUCUAAACGAUCAGGUCUUUCAGGGAAGCCUAAUAAUCAAGAUGGACAUCAACCUUUGAUUUGUAAACAGCAUGUUUCUCGGGGCUUGCGGGUUCAGAGUCACCAAUCACAUCAAGGUGAUCUUGUUGUGGAGAGAAAUUGUGUUCGCAAGCUUAAAAAUUCAUCUGAAAGUCCAAUUUCUUCUCCUGAGAAAUGUGAGAGCAUAGAGAAGCCUGUUUAUGAAGCCCCAGUUAUUGAUAAGAGGGAGCCUUCUACGGGAAAAAAGGGAGUAAGGAGUCCCUUGUUUGGAGCCAGAAUCUGUAACAAGGUGGAGAGGUCUUUUCACCCACUUAAGCAAAAUGCAAAUCAGUUGAGCAAAGACCAUCCCCAUCUAGAUGAGGAUUAUAUGGUGAGAUCUCUAAACUCUGGUGGAAAUUGCUCAUCUUCAUGGAGCAAAAAGAUGGUUGAUAUUGGUGCAAAUAGUAAUCCCGAUACUCUAGUUGCUGCUAUUUCACCUAUCAGUCAUCUUUCUUCUGCAUCCAAAUGCUUCAGAUUUUCCUCACCAAAGAAAAAUGUGCGGUCUUCUAGCAGCCAGUCAUCCAUGGUUAAAUCUAGUUCUAGCUUGGUUAAGAAUUAUUCAACAAGGGAGAGUCAACUGCAUUUUAUGGCAGAAAUAGAUGAGAAGGAAGUGGCCUGGGAUCUUGAGGCAGAUCAAGAAUGUGACUUAGUGCAUGAUGGUGCUAAAAAUCAAUGUGAGGGGAAAGAAAUUUCUGAAGAAAUGUCAUUUGGUGGAAGCGGUAUCCAGGGAGCCGAAGAACAAAGAGGAAGAAAAAGUAUUUCCCGGAGGGAGGAAAGCAUGGCUUUGAUGAGCAUAAAAUCAGUACCUCAUGGUUAUGAUCAUGAUGAGAGAGAGAACUCAGAUUCUUCUGUAAGAGGUAGUCAUCAGGAUAUUCUGUAUAAAGUUGAUGGUUUGGAAUCUAUUGAGGAGACGCUUACUAGUUUGAAUCAGUCAGUAGAAACCAAGUUUAACAAGCUGAGUAAUCUUUCCAAGAAUAGAUCCAAUUCUUUACAGACUAAUGAAGAUUACAAUGGGCCUUUGUGUGGGGUUGAAGGACUGGCUGACCCUGCUGAGCCAAGUCUUGUUGAAAAACCAAAAAUGUUUUGUGCUGAUGUUGGCCACACUAUAAUUGGACAUACUGCUAAUAUGGGAGGAGAAUUAGAUUCUGAUGCUGCACAACGGAAUUCUUUUCCUGAGGUUGAUCCAAUACCUAUUCCUGGUCCACCAGGAUCAUUUUUGCCUAGUCCUAGAGAUAUGUGCUCUGAUGAUUUUCAAGGGAAUUCGUCAUUGACCAUCAGCCGGAUUCAAUCCUCUCAAGAUCAGCUUGAUUUGGUUGAUGGGGACUCAUCAGAUUCACCCAUAUCUGCUGUGUCAACAAUCUCUAAUUCUGCAGAAGCUAGGUUAGAUUUGAAGUAUGGAGAACCAUUAGCAUUUGCUGGUGCUCCUGCAGCUCUAAAAAUGGAUAGGUCUGGCUACUCUACUGCCAAGUCUGAGCCCUUAGUUGGGCACGGUGCCGUUGUUCCACAUACAAGCUCAGGACCUGAAAGAACUUUUGAAGGAGAGAAGUUUAGAGCCCGUAGAAUAUCUUUUGAAAAGAGACCUUUGAUUUUUAAAAAUGAUGAUCAGACAUGCUGUUGCCAGAGAAAAGACAGAUCCUCCCAGGGUUUUGCCCUGAAUUAUCAGGAGUCCCAACUAUUAAGGCGACGAACAAUGGCUUCAAUGAUGGUGCCUGCCAUGGGAAUGCCAGUCGGUGCCAAUCCUAAUAUCAGUCCUAAUAAUUUGGAUGCAAGACCAGAAACAUUUUCUCUGAGCAGCAGUACAAGUUUAGGAUCUGAACAAAUGGUUCUACCUGUGAUCAUGAAACCCCCUUCAGGUCCCAUUCCUUUUAAAGGAUUUCCUGAUGCUGGUGUCAAGCUUUCCAGUCGUGGUGUCUGUGAUUCUGCUAGCCCACCUUCUUCUAAUCCCAUUCUCAGGCUGAUGGGAAAGAAUUUAAUGGUGGUUAACAAAGAGGAAGACGCAUCUGUGUCACUUGGUCAGGCCCAGUCAUGUGCCCAGAGUAAUCGUCUAACUCCUAACUUUCCAACUUCUUCUGGAAUCUCUCCUAGCAAUAUCCGGAAUCAAGGUGGCCAGCCCGUCCAUCACACAACGUCUCAGGGUUUUUUAUUCUUUGAUCAGAAUCCAAAUUAUUUGGUGGGGCAAUCUUUUGAUGUCCGAUUGACAAACGGCUAUAGAAGCCGUGCAAAUCUUGCAAAACCAGAAACACCUGUGCAAUUUCCAGCCGGCAUGUUUUUCAAUGGGCAUAUGGACUGUGGUUUCACAACCUCCAUGGAGCUGUACAAGUGUGAAGAUAACUAUAAUUUGCCAACUCGGCCGAACAGACCUAAGAACAAAGUAGGUUCAGCAGCAACAUAUGAUAUGGAGAAAGUUGCAAGCCUAGACUGCGGACAUAGGAAUAUUGGGGAUUCUGCCGUUUCCAGUAAAGAAAUCAUUGUCAUUGAUGAUGCUCCUGAAAGUGAAACAAAUAAGACUGCCGAUGUUGCCGAACACUCUGCGGGCUUGAGGGAAUGCCCACUAAUAUUAUCUGGUAUUUCAAUGCCAUUAGUUCCUAAUCAUAGUGUACGGCACAGGAAUCCUUUUCAUUGUUAUCAGUCAGAUGGCACUUUUCUAGGUGACCCAACUAUCCUACAAGAUAACAACUUUAAUGCAAUCCCUUCCGGACGAGCCAAUGCUAGUCCUGUUAGGCGGGAUUGCUCUUCGGAAGGUUCUGGUCAUGUGCUGCAGCAGGCUCCUCUUAUGGCUGCAUCGCCCUCAACAGGCUAUCUGAGAUCUGCACUUUACUAUUCUUCAAGUUUCUCUUAGCAGCUUUGCUUGGGAUGGGAAUUGUUAGAAGGUCUGUGCUGUGCAUCAGCAGGUUUCAUGUCAAACUUGUACUGAAUCUUGAGCUUCUUGAUGACUAAUGACAGACAGAAACUUUUGGGCUUCAAAAAUGAUUUUCAACAACUAAAUAUUGGCAGUUUGAUCUAAUAGAUUCAAAGCAAGUUCAGCGAUUGAGAUCUCAGAGUUUGUAUUUAUUUUUUAUUCAUUUACUGUUGGGUAAACUUUUUGCGGUUUUUGAGGCUUCUGCUUAGACAAUUAGAAAGUUAUCACAAAGACUAGAUAAUGUAUAAGCAAUCCUUGAAUAAAAACUGAUUACCGACCUUGGCUUCAAGCCAAAUGGAGUUAAAAGUGCUCCUAUAGAAAUAUUUAUCUUGUUUUUCUAAUUUUAUUUUUUUCUUUGGAGUUGUUUUCACGUUUUCAAAUGACUUAGCUUGUGAAUCAAGGCAAUGAUUUUGUCAAUCUGACCAAUGAAUGGUGUACUGUGGACAUUAUGAUCAGUGAUCAGUUUCAAUGUCUAUUUGUCGUAACCUGUGCAGCUUUAGGAAUUCAAAUAGGAGUACUGUAGAAUGAUGAACUUUCAAAAUCGUUUAUCAGCAGAUGAACUCAAGAUCGUUGAAAUCGGCACACACAUAUAUAUAUAUAUAUAUAUAUAUUGGCUCUGCAAUGAUAUAAAUAGGACGUGUAGAUAUAGAUGUGAACAGUCUGUGAGUGUGUGGCAACCUGUGGUGCAUGAUGAAGAUAUAUUGUAAUAGAGAAGAGCUUUGAGUUCAUCUUUUUCACGGCUGAGCCAUUGACAACUCAGUGUGAGAAUCCUGCAUCCAUGGCAGCAUAUUAGCAUGCUCGUGUGACACUAUAGAUGCUAGUUUAUUCAGUGAGGAAAAUGUCGGUGUAGGUGAGAACUUCAAAGGUGAGAACUUCAAAGUUGCAGCUGGAUGCUAAUUAGUACACAUAGAUAGAUGGAUGAGUAUUACAUAAAAUACAAAAUCUAUCGGGCAAAGGAUUAAAAUUUAGGCCCCAUUUGUUUUUGAAGGCAGCGUUAGUACAAUGAAAUUGAAAUAUUUUUUUUAUUCAACUGCACCGGUAUAAUCCAUUUGGAUAACUUACGGUGCAGUGAUUAACUAUACUGAUGCAAUAAUUUUGCGUGGGAGAAAAAAAAAAUUCCAGUGAGUAACUACAUUGGACUUUUUUGCCAUAAUACUAUAUUUUUAGUUUUUAAUUUCUUUUUAUUAUCAUCUUUUAAAAAAUAAUUAUAAAAUAUUAUUAUAUAAAUAAAUACAAAAAAUUAAUUAAAUAUUACUUUAUUAAGUUUUCAUUUAUGUAAAUAUAUUAUUAUAAAAAAUUUUAAUAAAAUUAUUAUUUGACAUAAAAAUAAUUUUAUUAUUUUUUAAAUUAUUUGUUAACUUAACAAAUGACAAAUAAUUUAAAAUUUUUAUUGUACAUAAAUUGUAUUUAAUUUCUUAAUAAUAUUUUUUUUCAUUAUAAUGUAUUUUUUUUAUUAUCAUUAUGUAUUCAUCCAUACAAAUAUUUUUAUAUUAAUUUUAUCACUAUAAAAACUAAUUUUAUCAUCAUCAUUAUUAUUUUUAAUUUGUCAUCUGUCUAAAUAGACCUUAAUUAGUAGUGAUUGACAUGCAUAAAAGAGAAGGGAAGGAGCUAGAUAGAUACUAAUUCGAAGUGUUGAUGGUUUUUUGGUGAGGAUGAUUAGUGCUUUGUCCGAAGUUCGUUGGAGAUCGACUGCAAGACGAAGAAUGGUCAAAACAUUGAAGAUAAAAUUUUGAGAUCAAUCAUUUAACAAGAGAUGAGAGAUAAAAGAAAUGAAACAUUGAAUAGGAUGUACCUGUGCUCCACCCUUACCUUUUAUAAUGAUGCUUGAGUAAGCGGGUAGUGGACCACGUAUUCAGUUUUGAGAAUCAGAUGACUGAGAUACGCUGAUGGAAACUAUCCUAACUUUGAAGGGUUGACCUUGGUAAUCUUGAAGACUAAACAAAAUGAAAUGUCAUUACUAAACAAGUAAAAACAGAUAUAGAUCAUAUAGGAGCAGUGUGUGUUAAAUGAUGGCUUUGAAUCUAAUUUUGAUGUGGGGCAGGACAUAGGGCUUAGGGGACAAUUAGUGAGUAGAAGAAAUUAGUAACGAAUGAAGUUGCAUAUAGAAAUGUAGUGGGGUCAGUGGGGUGUAGUUUAAUUUUUUGGUCAGCUCAGAUGCUGUUGUUGACUCAAGUCAAGCUCCUCUUAAGUUUUACAUAAUUAAUCACAUUUGGCUGUCGUUGCUAAUUAUAAUGAGAACUGAUAAAAAAUGAUUCAACAGUACAGUACCGGGUGAUCAUUACACCAUGAAAAAUGAAAUAUAGGCGUUAAAGGAGAAGGAACCCCGUCCACUGUGAUUAUAAAAUAAAAAGUUGCAAAUGACCCUUGUGUUGGGCAAUAGUAUCUUUUACUUUUAGUUUAAGAUAGAGGUGGGGAAAAAGAGUGAAGAUAUCGGUCGGUCACUGCACUUUGGGUUGGUUGGUGUAGUUUGCGUUAAUUUCUGCAUGGUGAAAGCCUAGCUUAAAUAUAACUCUUUCACAAAGGAGAAUAUGCCCCCAUUUUCUGAAAGCUGUGGUGUGGGCCAUUCCUUUGUCUUUCUCUCUCAUUAUCACUUUUUAUUUAUUCUGUUUUUCUAUCCACACGAUCUACAUUAAUUUAAAAAAAAAAAAAAAGAAAAAGAAAUGCGUGGCCUUGCCUUUGUUCCUGGUAGUAUUUUUCUCCUUAAGAAAUUGAUUUAAUUUUAUGUUAAUUUUGAUUAGUUAUAUUUUGAUUUUAUUGAUUAUUUAUGUGAUUAUUCAAUAAUUUAAUAAAUAUGAAUGUAUUAUUUGAAUCAUAACAAUAAUUUCUUUUAUACUUAUAAUUUCAUAAAAAAUAAUAUUAGUAAGUAGUAUUAACAAUGGGAGUUAAUUGUCAAUGAGGAGCUACUAAAACUUUGAGUUCUUAGAUUCAAAAUUUAUCAUGCAUGUAUUUAAUUGUUUAGUUAUUUUAUAAUUUAUAAAUUGAUUAUUCAGUUAUUAUAAUUUAAUUGUGAUACAAUAGUUAAUUAUAUAAAUUAUUAUUAUUGUAACUUAAAAAAUAAUGGGAGCUAACUCAAUAUUAACUUAGACAUCAUACAUGUUGAUUAAACUCUUAAAAAUUAUAGAUUCAAUAAGAUUUAGGUACAUAAUGUCUUUUCAUAUGAGUUAAAUAAAUAGAGAUCAAAAUUCUAAGAGUAAAUUAAAAUUUUCAAAAAAAAAAAAAAAUACUAACAGUUAUUGCUACUUGAUUCAUGGAUUAUUUAUGUAAUUAAUAAUAGCAUUUUGUUUCACAUUACAAUUAUAUUAUUAUUAAUACAUUAAUGGAAUAAUAAAGAAAAUUUGUUUAAUUAUAUUUAUUUAAAAUUUUUAACUAAAAUGCUACUAAUAUUAAUACUAUUAUAUUUAUUUAUGUAAAAUUGUUUAAUAGUGUAAUUGUAAUAGGAAACAAAACGCUAUUAGUGUUGUUUUCUUUUUAUUUUGGAUAAUAUUUUCUAGAUUUAUUUAUUCUUAAUUUUUAAUUUUUAUUUACUUAUUUAAAGAAAACAUUACAUAUCGUCUAAACUUUUUAAAAUCUGCAAUUUUAAAAAAUCCUACCAACAUCCAUAUUAUUUAAGAUAAUACUUAAUUAAUAUGUUUUGAAGAAUAUAAUAUAGCUAAUAAUAUUAUAUGUAUAUAUAUAUAUAUAUAAAUUUAUAUAAUAGUCUAAGAGAAACAACUUUGGUUUAAACUGUCGUUUCAUUUUUUACAUCACAAAUGUAUGAGAUUGGAUUUUAAACACAAAAACCAAACAAACCGUCCAACAUUUUUGUUUUUUUGAACGGUUGUCGUUGUCUGUCUUGUCGUGUCGUACCGUUGGUAGCGGGUGGUCAAAACUCAGAAAAACGAGAUGCAGAACCACCAAUCAACAGCCGCCACGUACACCACCAUCCCCAUCUCAGCUUCUGACGUCAUCUCUCGCUCCAUUCACAAUCUAACAGCCACCCUCUUCCGUCACCUGCGUCCCUGGCCUCAACUCUUGGGCUCCGGCUCCGGAUCCUUCUCCCGACCCCACUCUCACACCUUUGUCUCCCGUGCCCCGGCCAACCUCCGUUAUUUCCGCGCCAACUACUCCAUCGUGGUAGCCGCCACCUCCGCCCUCUCCCUCAUAGGUUCCCCGCUCUCCCUCCUCCUCUUCUGCGGCCUCUUCACUCUUUGGCUCCUCCUCUACUUCUUCAGAGAGGACCCACUCGUCCUGUGUGGUCAUUGUGUCAGCGAUCGCCUCGUGCUCUUCUCUUUGGCUUUCCUUUCGGUGUCGGCUGUCUGGGUUUGCGGCGUCCUCCCAAAUUUGGCCUUAGGGUUUGGGAUUGGGGUCCUCGUGUGCGGGGUCCACGCCCUUCUUAGGAACUCCGAUGGUCUCUUUCUCGAUGAGAACGACGCCGUUUCUACUGGAUUGGUCCACUCAGUUGCUGCUGCAGGGACUACAACUACAUGUGCUGCCCCUUCUCCGAAUUAAUUAGAAGGAUUUCUUUUCUUUUCUUUUUUGUUUUUGAAGAUGUUGAAUUUCAAUUGCAUUCUGAAUUUCUGAUGGACAGGUUUGGUUUGGUUUGGUUUGAUUCGUACUUUGCAUAGACUGUGGAGUGUGGAGUGAGGUUGUCUGUCCGUACUUGGUAUUUAGUUGGAUUGUAGAUCGUCAAUGAUGAACUUGCUUGCAUUGAAAUUGAAAUGCGUGUGAUUCUUUUCAAGGUUGUUCUUCCUUGCUAUUGUUGUUUGUUUAUUGCUUGCUUUUCUUGCAUCAGAAACCAGUGUCCAACUCUUAAUUUCGCUAAAAACUGAAAUGAAAUUAACGUUUCUUUCAUGUUGUUCCCAUUUUCUAUGUUGAGCUUUAGUCCUUGGAUUUGAAAAUGGGACUGCCACGCUAUUUUCUUCAUAUUCAAUCUAAUGCUGGCUGUUUAACAAUACUCAAAUUAAUGGUUAAUGAAGGCAUUGGAAAAUUGAUCUGCGAACGGAAAAUUAUUCUGUUUUAAAAUGCCAAUGGGUUAUCGACGUUAUCCAAAACUUGUGGGUGGAACCGAAUGUGAAUGACUUGCUUUGCUCAUCACAAUGCUUACAUGUUAGAGGCAUUACUCUCCUCGAAAUUCAGACACUCCACCAAACGUGAGUUACAUAACUAUCCCGGCCCGUCCAUGUUAGCAAAAACCCAUGGAAUUUCUUUUGUGAAAACUUAGAUACAUUUAAAAAAUAAAAAAUAUGACAUGGCAUUGAUGUGGCAUAAGACACUCCACUAAAAGAAAUAAGUUUAAAACCGUGUCAGAAAAAUCUCGGUAGUGGUUGGUGUAGGAGUUUGUUUUCCCAACAUAAAGAUCAUAUUAGCGUAAUUCAACAAAGCAGUGACAUUUCCUAUCUAUUCCAAGUGAAGAAUGGAAAAUAAAUACAGAUUUAUCACCGUAUUUUACAUUGUGAACAAAACUUAACUUCUAUUGAGAAUAAGCUCCAUCAUAUCUUGCUCCUCAUUCUCACCAACUUUGCAAGUGUUUCUUGAGCUGCCAAGGUUAGUGCAUGAUUGUGCCCCAGCAUCACUGUCCGAAUACUGAUACAAGUUCUGCAGAGCUCUUCACCGCUGUCAAAAUGCCCACCUCUUAACAUCAGCUUUGCUCUCGUUUCCAACAGGGUAGCCUUCAACAAUGUCACAUCUUGCCACACGUACUCGUCCAACCUUUGAUUACCUUGUAACUUGUUUUUCCAACAAAGCGACCCAUGACACCAGUCUUGUGUUUGAGAUACAAAAGACUUUUCUACUUCCUCCAACACAUUUGUGCACACCUUCAAUAACUCCAAUGCAGAGUUGCAUCUUGAGAAUGUUGUGAAGGAUCUAAUUGCUAAUGGCAGUGCCGUCUUUUUUAUAUACAAAACCAUAUCAAUUGCUUUUAAUUGCACAAUAGGAGGCUCGGACUUAAAUCCAAAUACAAUAAAUGCAGAAGCCCAUAGAUGAUCAGAAUUCAGCAAUGGGUUCCCAAUUUUUCUUAUGCCUUGGACUGUGGCUUUAGCAGCGGAUAAACACUCUUUCCUCUUUGCAAACUCUUGAGUUAUAGGAUGGAACUGAAUCCAACAUCCAGUCUGUCGAUUAACUCUUCUUGCCAAUCCUAGCUUUACUAGGAGAAUAGCGGAAUCUUCCUCAAUUUGAGUAGCUAAACCGCAUCCACCACACAAGCCGAACGUGAGACUUCGGAACUUAAUCCACCUUCUGAAUCGGUUUCCAUCAACAGGCAUAUACUUAGCCGCAGUAGUUAGCAAAUUUGCAGAAAUGGGUGAUGGGGCAAACCAAGCACCAACAAGAAGCAUUCCAGAGGCGAGAAUGUUCCUUCUCCCAUUAACUUUCUGCAAUACAGCAAAGCAAAAGCAUAGAAUUUUCAUCAGGAAUGGAUUGUUUUUGCAGUAUUGCUUACCAUUAGUCCUCACAUAUGAUGAAGUAGAACCAUCUUCAAGCGAGACCUCGUUCACAGCUUCAAAGAGUGCAGAUGGAGAAAUGGCAAGUUCGGAAAGCAGUGAACCAAUAAUCCACAAACCAAAGCUCAGUCUUUCCAAUUUCUCAUCAAAUUUUCUCAAGGACUCCAACUCCUCAGCCGGAUAGACUUUUUUCCUUCUUCCUCUUACUAAAAUCAUUGCAUCAGAGAAAGGCAAUGGAGGAAGCUGGAUUGUGUCAAAAUUCAUAACCUUUGAUAGCCUAGUAGUGAUAAUCACAUGAGUCCCACCGGUGUUCCUGGGAAUUAAGUCAUGCAGGUCUUUUCCUUCCCACCACUCUCGCUCUGUCUCAAGAUUAUCGAUGAUCAAAAGAUAAGGCAUGUCACGAAAGACAUCUCUCUUCACUCGCUUGAAUGCUUCAAAUUCCUGCUCCUCAAAGCUUCGAAUGUGGCCCCUUUCCUUCUCAUCUUCAGCACUCACAUCCAAUCCCAAAUCGAGUGAUAAGUUCAAUAUAUUCUGCCGGAGAUAUCGGGCUUCUCCACCAACCCAAAGAACCAUCUUAUAUCUCUGAGAAUACCUAUAAGCAAAUUCAAGAGCCAGCUCUGUCUUUCCAAUGCCUGGAACCCCAUUAAUGCAAAUCACACUGCAGCGUAAGCUCUUGUAGUUCCCACUUUUUGAUUUCUUGUAUUUGGACCUUUUCAUUGAAUUUCUUCCCGUGACUGGCUCAAUCCAUGUCUCUAGAGUAGGCUCUUUGCACUUAUCUAAUCCCAGAUUAAUAUACCUCCCUCUAGUGGAAACAUUACCACUUUCUUCAUCCGCAAGCCCUUCGGAUUGCCCGCUUGCUUCACUUUUUAUAAUAGGCAUAGAGCAACAAUCUUGCUCAAGAGAAUCAGCAUGUCCAAAUAAGGAAGUUUCAAUCUCCAUAAUCUCCUUCUGUCUUCCCACAAAAAACCUGUUUCUCGGGAAGGGCAGCUCCUCAAAUCCUUCACCAACAAAGUCUUUCUCUGCCACACUAUUCCUUCCAAGCUUUGCUCGCAAUAUUCCUGCAGCUUUGGCUACGCAGCUUCUCCAAUUACCCUGAUUAGCUUCCAGCUUGAACUCAUGACACUUGAUUAGGCCGUCAAUUGCUUCUUUGCAUUCUUUAUCAACUGAAUUGCAGUUGAGAAGUCCCAUGAUCUCAGCAGGUCCCGUGUCAAAGAAGAGUGGAAUCAAGUUUUUCUUUUGAUAAAAGAAUCUAAUUUCCUCCAAGCUGAGAUGAUUGAGAAAGCUAGAAUUAGUGACCACCACAACUCCAUAUGUGGCUGAGCAGAUUACUCGGUCAGCAAUCUCAUGGCUCUGACCAUCUGAAUACUUGGCUCUAUCUGAAACAAAGCAAGCAAUACCCUGAAGCUCCAGCUCUGACUUAAGCCACUUACAGAAGCGAGCCAAGUUAGGAUUUUGACCGUGGAAGCCAAUGAAAACGUCACAGCUCCUGAGUUUGGCAUUAGAAGCAGGAGAAACAGGAGCUUUUGCGAAGGAAAUUCGAGGCACUGGAAAUGAGAAUGAGAUGCGUGGAGCAGGAUCUGGAACUGGAACACAAGUUACAAAUUUGAGCUUCGGAUCUGCAGGGUCGUCAGAGUAUUCAUACUGUUCUGAUGGUGGAGUGUAUGAACUACUUGGUAUAUCAUCGGAUUGUGAACCCCCUCUGUACGAGACUGGUGUUGAUGGAUGAGUAACAAGAGUAGAGUUAUCUUGCGGGGUUGAGUUCUCUUGGGGUUUCGGGAUUGUGGCUCUUGGUGAUAUAUAUGGUGACUGCAAAGCUGAAACAAAUGCUGACGAUGGUGGGGACACCAAGGAGGGAGAGUUGUAUGGAGAUGACUCAAUUGAGGUUUUUAAGCUUGGAGGAUGCAAAUCCGUGGGGAUCAAAGUUAAAGCAUCUUUACCAGUUUUGCUACAGCAAGAUGAAGUCUUGAUGGUGAGGCUGCUGGGAUGGUUUUCUUGAGAAAGUUUGCCGCUACCUGAUACUGAUGCUUCUUCUUCACCCAUAGCCAUGAAGGUUUUGAUGUCUGUGGCAGUGCAGUAGAUCUCACUUCUUCCAAGUUCUAAGAAAGCUAAGCUCUAGUGCUGUACAAUGUUCUUCUCUAUAGUCUACAGUCUACAUCGUAAUGGUACUUUUCUCUGGUUGUACUUUGAAAGUUAUUAUCAGUCCGGUAGCAGAUAUAAUCCCUUGCAUUAUGUGCGUCACCAUAGAACCUGAGCGCUUCCUGGAUUCUCUUGCAUCAAUUUUCUCUGACAGAUAUAAUUGAGUCAUUGAGUGAAUGGCUCUGACCAAAGUCUAUGGCAGAAGAUGAAUGCUACAGUGAUGCCUUCACACAGGAGAGAUCUGCACUGCAUGUGAUUUAUCUCACUUCAUAUUUGUGGGCCUCGCUUCAGUCAGAGCUACUCCAGUUUUCUUGUGCCUAUGGUGGAGUUGGUUUGACCGGAAGUAUUAACAAAGAGGAGAACAGUCCAUUAAACAUCAUAAACUGUUACAGCAUUUUAGUUAUCAUUUGAUUGGGACGGGAAUCAUUCAGGCUUUGCUCUGAAAAACUGAAACAGUAAAUGGAUGAUACUGAUUAACGCUUAAUUAAAACAACACAUGAGCAAUGCUUCAAAUCUUUCUUUAGACCUAAUAUAACAAGUGUGUAAACCAGUGCUUAGUUUCAUUUCAUAUAUAUAUAUAUAUAUAUAUAUAUAUAUAUAUAUAAUAUCCAUUCCAGAAAACUGAUGCAACAGAAUAGAAGUUUACUUACCUCAGCUUUGCUUUACUUUGAGGCAAUGGAAAGAAGAGAAACCCUUCGCUGCAAAUCCUGAAUGGCCAUGUCUAUCUUCUCUCUCAAAAGCAAGCUGGAGAGAAGGGGGGAAUCUAAUGUUGGGCAGGAUCUGUGAGGUUCGGAACAUAUAAUAUUAGAUAAAUGCUUAAAAAGAAGCUGCAGAGGGCUAAUGGUAUAGUUAUUUAUUUGAUUAAUUUAAUAGAUUGUGUUGGGCUUAGGCCAUUUAUUUUUGUUUUUUGUGUUGUACUAUUUAAUCUUUCGAUUCUAAAUCUAACACGGGGUUCUCACUUGUCACAGAAGCCAAAGAUUGGUCAGAGAAAAGGGCAUUGGAAGGGGAACCAUUAUUCAGAGCUUGUUGGCAGGGGUUGUAUGAUCAAGGGUUCAACAGCAUUAAAAUAAAGCAAUCAAGUUAGUAUUGUCUAUUAAUUAUUUUAUAUUAAAAAUUUACAAGAAUGCAUUUAUUUAAUUAAUAUUACUACUAUUAUAUUAUUGUUUAUCCAAUCCAGGUCUUAAUAUGAAUGUGUGCCCAUCUGACACAGUUUGAAUCUAUUUGCACCGGAAUUGGACCAAAGACCAGUCCAACUGAGAACCGAGCACCCACUGCUGUAUUAUUGACUCCUUCCUGGACAUUGAGAAAAUAGAUUGAAACCUUUUAUUUAUUUAUUUUAUUUUAACUAGUAGGGAAGGAGUGGUACCUUUUGGACCUCAUGAGUAAAACAGCACCUACUAUUCCAGUAUACCUGUCCUAUAUAUUUGGCAGCUGAAAUCACAGUGUUCACUGCUCAUCCAGGAUUGCAUUCGACAAUGUGGAAAAAGAAUUCUGGCACAUGAAUCUUUGUCAAAGCCAGUGGAUUAUGGACCUAAGCAUAUGAUUUACAAUUUCUCAUCUCAGAUAUAAUACCUUUUUUUUUCCUUUUCUGUAAAUGUAAACGAAUUAAAUAAAUUAAAAAUGUAAAGUAGUUGUAGAAAAGAACAAGAAAAUUGCAUAUAGAUAAGAUAUGUAAUUCAAGCUGAUAGGAUUUCUUACAAACUAAACUUUCCCAUGUUGAAUUUCAAAUUCGACCAAGGUGAUUAAGAAGUUAUAUAUGCAUGCAUGCAUGCGGAUUCUGGGGUUAGGGUUAGGGAGUUUAUGAUCGACUAAAGACUUUUUCUCAUUUUCAUCUUUUUGGUUUCUCUGUUAUGAUUUAUGAAUGUGUUUCAACUUAAGUCAUUGCCUCAGUGGUAGAAAUUUAAUUCACACACAAGCAAGCAUGUUGAGGCCUAAACCCAUAAGGGGAAAAAUUAACAUAAAAUAGAAGAAUGUGAUUCAAUCAAAUAUAUAAUCAUUACAAGCAUUAUUUCAUACAGUAUUCUAGGCCAAAAAAGUAAACAAAUAUCCCAUGUGCCUUUACGUAGAAAGCUUCUAUAUUUUUACUAUUAUGGAGGGCCAACUAAGGCCAUUGAUACCAGGGUGCUUGCCCUCUAUAAUCCUAAAGCUUCAUCUCUUUCUUCCUUAAAAGUUUUCUUAGACUCUCUUUUUUCAGAAAUUAAAAACUAUAAGCUCCUCUGCCUGUAAUCAUAGAGUUAUAUAAAAAUUAUUUGAAGUUAAUGACUCUACAAUUCGCAAAAGCUAGCUCUUUAUUUAAAUAAAGCCUAUAUGUGUUCUGCUCUCUAAAAUAUGUAUCCCCAUUAUAUAUGCCAGAGUCUAAUGCUCUUUCAUUUUGAAAGUGAGAAGCUGUCUCAGCAUGGAUGGAAGCUGACUACAUUAUGACCACCUUUUUCAUUUGUACUCAUUGUUGGAGCUUUAUCUGAAUCCAUCUCUUUAAAUAUAUAUAUAUAUAUAUAUAUAUAUGGAAAUGGAAUCUCCAUCAUAAUGAAACAUGAUUGGCUGCAAAAAAGAAUCCAGCUCCCAAUUAACCGGUAUUUUCUUAUGGAGCUAGAAAAUUUUAGGUUUAGACAGAAUUUGGUUUCCUUAAAUUUAGACACAAUCUCUUCACCUUCUCGAGCUCUUUUUUUCUUUUUUUUUUCUUUUUCUUAAUGGUUGUAAAAGCUAUGCAGAAAAUCCUGUCCUCCAUAAUUAAUGUAUUCCUUUUGUAUAGUAUAUAUACAAGAACAUUAGAUAAGAAUAAUCCUAUGUCUUACAAAUAACUCUUAUGCUAAGUAAUCAAAAUUUAAAUUACAUAUAUAGUUAUUAUCUACUCGAUUUAUUAACAGAUAACCCUUCAUUCAAAUUUCAAAUGGUCUGUGGCUUUGUCCCUAAUACGGCCCCGCAAGAUAGAGCCACGAUUGGAGAUUCCUAUCUUGGACAAUAACAGCUGAAAUCUUGACUUGGACACUGACUUUGUUAGUAUAUCAGCAAGAUGUUCAUGAGCAGAGAUGUGCUACACUUGAAGUAGAUCCUUUGAAACUUUGUCCCGUACUAAAUGAAGAAAGUCAAUGGAUAGCAUGUGUUUCAUCUUAGAAUGUAGGCAUGGAUUUGCAGAGACAUAGGUUGCACUCAUGUUGUCGCAACAUAUAUAUAUGAGUGGUGGUUUUGACAACUCCACUUGUAAGACAUCUUAUUUAUAGAUUGUAAACCUAUUUAUCUUUUAUUUUUUUAAGAUAAAAAUUAGGUGGUAAGAGAUAAGAAUGAUAUGUGCUUGUAUUUUAAAUUAAAAAGAAAACUAAUUUGUGCAUAAAUUUAAUUGUAUAAUUAUAUUUGAGUUUAUUAAUUAAUUAACAGUGGUGUAGCUAGCAUACACUGUAGGAGAGUAGGGAGGGCUAUUAUCUGCAUUAUAAUAAAUGAUUUAGUGCAUUAACUAUUAAAAGAAUGAAAGACAAAAGAGCGAAUAAAAGCACUAAUAAUUAUUAAGAUGUUCCAAAGGCUAGCUGAGUAUGUUUCUGCAUUGCACAGUGUUGCUGAGUGUAACAUCGAUCGGCAUCAUAUUCAUUGUAUAUAUUUAUAUAUUGAUAGAUAGACAGAUAGAUAGAUACCGGUGAUUAGUAAUAUUCUGACACUGCAUGCAUGCGGAUGCCGAUUUCAUGUUCUCAACGGGAUAAGCCUGCUUCUUAUGUUGUUCAUUAUAUAUAAUAAUCCCCCUGAAAAUGACACAAAAUGGCCACUGUUAAAUCUUCCUCUCAAAUUGUUAAAAUCAAGAAAAAAAAAAAAUAAAGACCUACAUAUUAUAUAAUCUACUACUUUUUUUUAUUAUUAAAGUUAUAUAAUUUUAUCAAUUAAUUUGUAAAUAAACUUACAAUUAUUUGAAAUAAAUUGUGAUUUUUUUUUUUUGCAAUAUUGUAAAAUUUUUUUCAAAAUAUGAUUUUUUUUUUCGCAACUGAAUUUCAGGUUUUAUUGAAAUUUCAGAAAAUUAAAUAAAUAUUUUUUAUUAGAUCAAAAUGAUAUUAAUUAAAUGGAUUUUGUUUAAAACCAUAAGAAUAACUUUUUCAAAAUUUAUCAGAUAUAUAACUUACCAGGUACUCAUAUUCAGUAAGUUAUAAAAUUUAUCAAUUAUGUAUACAAAUGAAAAAUUUUACGUAAUUUUAUUUAAAAAAAAAAAAAAAGAUGUAAAGAAAGAAAAAUGGAUGCAAAUAAAAGCACCCCAUCCAAAAUCCAAAUCAGAUUAGACGGCCAGCAAUGCCCAGUUGGGUUGUUUUUAUUAUGGGCCCACACACCAUGUGGCCCAUUUAUUUUCAUAUCUUUUUUUUUUUUUGGCCAAAAAUUACUUUUUACUAAGUUAUUGUUUUUUGGAGGAUUAAUUAACGGUGGAGCAAAACUAACAAAUUGUUUUUUAAUCAUUAAUGUAAAUAAAUUCAAUAAAAGGAUCGUGUGAAAAAAAGAACUCUUUCUUUAAAUUUAUUGAAAUUAAUAAUUAAAAAAAUAAAAAUAUUUAAUGUAAGUUUGAUCUCCUUCCAUUAUAUAUAUUUUUUAAUUUAUUUAAUAUACUUAGUAGUACUUACCAUGAUCAAAUGUUCCUUACUUUUCAUUACACUAAUUUUAAAUUAUCAAAAAGUUAAUUUACUAAAAUACCAUAGUUUCUCUCCCAAUAAUUUCAUGGCCUCCUAUAUAACUGCGAAUCUAACCACGAUUAAGGGUUUCCCAUUUCCUUCAAAUCAUCUUCAAUUUCCCUCUAUGAGAAGAUAAAAGGUACGAUUUUUAAUCACAUAUGUAUUACAUCCUAAAUUUCACUUUUUCUCUAUUUCCGAAUUAAUUUUUUUUAUUUGAAUUCAAUCUUUGUUGAGCUUUCAUGACAUAUAAGUUCUAUAUACAAAAGUCAAGCUCAAUUGUUCCUUUUGAGUUCCUUCUUUUGUAUUCAAAAUUGAUGACAAUAGAGAAUCCAAUGAUGGGUAUAAUUAAAAUUUAUUCAUUUAAUUGAAUUUUGAUGCCAGAUUAUUGAAGAGAAUAGUUGGGUUGAUUUUUCUUUUACAGAUUUUGGUUGAUUUGGACCUGAUUUUGCGGGAAUGAUAGUUAUUGUUCUUGAUCUUCAUCUGAAUAAAUCUUGAGCGAAACCCAUAUUAAUAGUUAUGGAUUUGGAAAGUGAAUGUUCUGCGCUUGAAUUUGUGGAGGAUAAUGAAGCCAUUCAACACGCUAUAUCUCAUUUUGAUGUCAAAGAUAAUCACGUUGAUGAUUUCAAGAGCAAGGAUAAUGGGUCGUGCGCAAAUGAUAAUCAGACUCAGAGAUUGGCCACUGAUCAUAGUGUCGAUUCCGAUGCUUUGACAGCUAAUAAUCAUCUAAAUGGUGCUGCUCAAAUUGUGCAGCCAAUGCAUGCACCUCAUCUAGCAGCUAAAUCUCCUGUUGGGGCAUCUCCCCCUACCACCAAAGGAUAUGGGUUGAAGAAAUGGAGGCGUAUCAAGAGAGACUUUGUUAAGGAUCCAACCGCCACUGGUGAUAUCAGUAAAAUGUUGAAGCGAGGUUUGUCUGGUUCUGCAAAUCCAACUAAACCUCUACAUAUGGCAUCACCCGAAAUCAAGCAGAAUAGUGUGGCUUCUGUUGGACCAGUGAAUAUGUUGAAGAGCACAAGUGUUGCUCAUGGGCUCAUGAUGCGUAGCCCCAGUUCUGAUUCCAGGUUUGCAGUCGGGGCUGCUUUUGCUUUUGCUACAGAUUCUGAAAAUAGCGAGGAUCGGAGUAGCAAGUCAUCUACAGCAGCCAGUAUGCCAAAGACGAGGUAUGACCUGCCUGCAGUUUUGGGGUACGUACACGAGAAAAACCAGAUGAAGAAUUUAAGUGGGAAGAGUGUGGGUAAUUCAAGUCAAAGAGUUCAGCAGGGAAAGGGUAGUGUUGAAAGCAAUAAGAAGGCCAGAGGAGAAAGGAUCAAAAUUGAGAAGGAAAACUCUCAUUCCAGCAUGGAAUCUGACUCAAGAAGCUCUAACUUUGUCUUUACGCAGGGUUUGUUUUCAGUGACAAGUAACGGAAAGCAAACUGGAAACUCCUUGAAUUAUGAUGGGGAAAAUAGUGAUGAAGCUCGUGAAGGCGAGCAUCAGAUCAGUGAGGAAGUUCAAACUGCUUAUAGGAAAGAAAAUUUAGGUGAAAUUGAAGAGCUUUCACCGGAUGAUUUAGCUGCAGAUUUAUCUUGGGAGGAUAAGGAAGAAAAAGGUGAGAAUCACCAGCCUUCACCAGAUCAAGACGCAUUGAUCCAGUCUAUUCUUGCCCUCCAAUCUGUUCAGGAAGCCCUUGAAAAUGGUGGGUGUGAUAUCCUUCUGAUAUCUUUGAUAAACCUUUCUCAUGGUUUGAUUAUAUGUUCUAACUACUCUUGGGUACUGUAUUAUAUGUCCUGCAAAUCCAGCUUGGUGACCUCUUAAUUUAUUCAUAUUUUAGUUAGCUUAUUUAUUUGACAAUCUCAGAAAUAUUUCUGUAAGUAUUUACUUCAAGCAGUUGAUAACUAUGCCCUCCUUUGUUUGAGGGUUGGGACAAAGAUUAUAAAUAGUUGUUGUUCAUAAAGCCUCGUUGUGGCUAACUUUGAAAAUUUCUAUACCAAUCUCUGUGCAUGUUCCACGUUGAACUGGCUUUUCAGUUAGCCUUAGAUAAGUCUAGAACAAGCAUCUUGAUGGGCAAGUAGGGCUGUAGUCAACAUAGGCUGUAAAAAGCUAAUGCAAAUAGCAGAAGGGAACUUCGGCUUAUAUUUUGUUAAGUUAGGAAUCAUGUACUACUAAUAAUUAACUAUUGAUAGUAAUGGUAAGUAUCUGGUGGAGUAAUGACAUCAUCAGGAGUAAGAUCAACCUAAAAAGGAACGUUUGGCAACAAAUCAUCAUCAGAAAAGCAGUAACUAAAUUCAGUUCAUAGGAGAAUCACACCAAUGUUUUUUGCUGGUGUUUGGUCAAUGUUAACUUAGGGUUGUGAGAAGAGAAGGCACACGGAAAAUGAGUUGUGGGAAGUGAGAGAGGAAUGGUAGUGACAUUUAUUUGGGUGUUCUCUAAUGCAUAAUGGAUAUCUGAUGGUGAAAGUUCAAUCAUAUGGAGGAGUCUAGGACUACAUCAUACAUGUUUUCAUCCUUGGAGAAGUUAAAUGUUGAUCAUCCAUUUUACUUAGUAUUGAUCAUUUCAUGCUAGCAUAAUUGCUGAUUAUGUCCUGCAUUUUUGUUAAGUUUAAUAGAGCAAUUUUUCUUUGCAGAAGUACAGAAAUUAGGGGAGAUAGGAAAGGAACCUCUACAUGAUGAUUCAAUUAACAUUAAUAGUGUUCAUAUGGAUUCUACUUUUGCUGAUGAGGAAAUCCAUGAAACUAGCUCAUCUGGUCAAUUAGAUUCUGAAAAGAUAAGAAAAAGUACUUUAGGUUCCUUGGAAACUCAGGUAUUCACCUUAACACAGAAAGUAAAAUAUUUGGAGAGCAAACUGGAGGAAGCAAGGGCUCUUCUGCAGGCGAAGGAAUCAAGGAUUUUUGAAUUGGAAACCAGUGUAAACAGUAGCAGGUUGCGGAAGGAAGAAUCCAGAAGCACUGCAGAGUUGCAACAAGAUAAAUAUAGAGAAAUGGAAUUUGAUCUUGAAGGCCUCUUUCAACAAAAAAUGGAGGCUGAAAUUGAGUUUCUAGCUCUAACAAGGGCAGUAGAGAAGUUGAGGGUUUCUGCGGGCAAUCAAGUUGCACUAUUUGAAGAACAAACAUCAUUGGCUGGGGAGCAAGCACACAUGUUGAAUAAGCUUGGAGAGGCAGAAAGCAAGGCUGUAAUGCUAAAGAAACAAGCAGAGGAGUUGGAAAAGUAUUGUGGAGACAUCGUAGGUACUGAAGAGGUUUUGAAGAUGCAAAGGAGAGUAUGUAAGGUUACGUCAUGUUUUUGUACACAGUUGGUAUUACUGGUGUUAGUGUUCGUUGUCUUGCAGCUGUCACCACAAUCAGGUGUGGUUGUUCCCACCUGAGUUAAAAGAAAAUAGAACCCCCCUUUUCUUUUUGUGUGUGUGUAUUCUAAUGUUUCUAGGCGAUGAUCCAAAUGUAAGAUUUCGUUGUUAUUAUAAUUAGAGUCUUUUCUUUUCCCUUUCCCUGCUUUUGUUAAUACCGCAACUUGGUUAAAAGUGGAAACCUUUUCAAUCUUGAUUUGAGCUUCUCUCAAUGUUAGUAUUUACCAACAAGGCUGUUUUUCUGUGAAGUAGAAUGCAAUUCUAAACCACACAUUUUAUCACUUUAAUUUGUUGGUUGUUAACUAGAGAAAUUAUGGCCAUGGCGUGCUGCUGGGUAGGCUUUGAGCAAUAAAUGUUGUGCUUGAGAAAGAUUUAUUGCCUUCACCGUGAACCUUCUCAAAACACUAUUAUUUGGAUGGGAAAUAUACCCCGUGUUGAAUAAUGUGACAGUUGAUUUUACAAAAUGAAUCGAAAUUUCUCAAAUUCAUCUUUUUAGGUACUCUUUCAUGUCAAAUGAAAUGAUAAAAGGUCUUUCUUAAAACAACACUAACACCAAUUGCCAAACGUCAUUGAUUAAAACCAACUUUUUUUCUUGCCGACAUAAUGCCUAAAAAAGGUGGUUAUACAAGUAUAAGCUCAUCCAACAUCUCCAUCUGCCAUCCUUUAAUUAAAGGGUGUGCAACGUAGUUGCAGAUUUUCUACCAGACUACAAUUUACUAACUUCACUCUGAUCUUAUAUAGCACAAGAAUAAUGUUCUAGGCUUCUAGAUUCUUAUUUAUUAAUAUAUAUAUAUAUAUAUAUAUAUAUAUAUAACCACAAGUUACAAAGCUCUCCCAUCUGAUCACCAAAAGUUUCAGCAAUGGGGCAGUCAAGCAAAUUGAAGAAACGGGAAAAGUUGAGCAAAAAUAACAACAGACGGAGGGUUGACACCCUGUUAUUCAGUUCCUAACAACCAACUCAUUGGAGGCUAUAGAGUUGUUGAAUCAUGGUAAGAUCGGUAUUCCAACAUUUCAGUUCAACAUCUCUCCUUGUCCUUCGUCCCUCUCUCCUGAUAAACCUGCAUCACAGUCAAGAACAGUCAUUUUUAAGAAAUCUCCAAUAGUCAAAUGAAACAUAGCAGGAUUUAACUGCAGAGACAAAAUAAAAAUAUUUAUACACAUUCUGGAUAAUUGGAGACAAAUGAUAUAACAGUCUACUUCCAUACCACUUUCUCAGUCUCUGUCAGAUUGCUCCGUAGGUGCCCAAUCUUCUCGCUGAUGACUUUCUCUUUCCCAUGCUACAUAGGUUUUAGCCGAACAUAAUGCUCAGCAAAGAAAAAAUUAUAACCACUCCUGUUUGACUUUGGCCUGGAGAGGUCCCAUAAAGCUAAUCGGGAUCUCUUCCGGCGCCAGUGACAAGGAAUAUCUGAAGUAUUUGAACUCUGAGACAAUUGAAGCAUUUGGGGGAUAUGAUACAGUACACCCUUAAAUUGAUCAGAGCCCAACCUAACUGUAAUCAGAUAGCCAUUAUCAAAUUUUCCAUCAAUGCUCCCCGUCACAGAACUACCAAUCUGCAACUCUGGAGUUCCUGCUUGUAUAAGAAUGGUAAGAGCCCUCAUUUAACAAGACAGCUACAUUCACACACUUGCAAAGAUGCAUAUGAAAUAGACAUCUAGGCUUGCCAAAUUUGGUAUAAAUAAUAACUAAAAUUACCCUCUAAAUCCUUUCAAAGCAACCUGAUAUAAUUUUCAAAUGACUUGCCAAAUAUCACAAUUUGUUUUUCUUUCUUGACCGCAAAUGAUCAUUUCAAGGCUAAACAAACAUUCUAGAAGCUCAAGCACUCAGCAACUGACAAUCAAGGUUUUUGUGAAAUCAAUAAUUUUGCUUUUAAGUCCUUUAAGGAAAUUCAAAUUGCAGGUCCCACAAACUAUUUCAGAACAACUAUAUAGGUAUCAGGGAACAUCACUUGUUGAAGAUUUAGAUUCAUAGAAAAGCAACAAUGGCAUGGAUUUUUCAUAAUUUAAGUAUAUCGCUAUUUUUUUUCUUCAGAAAAGAUUGCAUCGAUAGUCAAUAUAUUAGGCUAUUAAAAUAUGAUACAUUUGUUAAAGACAUUGCUAUGCAGGUCUAAUAAGCCUAGUGAUAUCAAGUCAUGCAUGCCUGAUUAGAGAAACCGAUAUCAUUUCUGUGAAUAUUGGAAUGAAAAGCUCCUUCAUAUUAAGGCAAACAAGUGUACGUAAACCACAUAUAAUUGUGAAAUACAACUGGAAGUUAACAUAGCCCACACAGUAAUUGGAGCCCUCAUAUCAAUAGGUAGUUACACAUACCCAGAGCUGUUAAUUGGUUUGUAGAGGCAUCUCCUCUGGUGUCUGCAUAUCCAUUCACAAGGCUCCCACUGGCAGUGUGUGCUAAAAGUACACAAAUUUACAAGCUAUGGAUAUUUCUUCAAAAGACAAAGAUGCUUCUAUCAGAAAGAAAAAAAUGAAUUUAGUUUUCAAAUACCAGGGGUUGAGACCAAAGAGACUUGCUUGCGGAAGUAAUAGACUUGCUCAAAGUGAUAAAGCAAUGAUAAGUAAUAUUUCUUUAAAACAAAUGAAGCAUUUUUAAUGGUUGUUGGAAAUCUGAAGACCACAAUCACUUCCUUCCAUCUGCGAUCUUGUAUUACCUGUAAACCAUUUCAAGGAAAUUAAACAUCCCUUUGGAGGGGUUGUAACAAGCUAACAUAUUGGACCAACUCAAUUUGUCCAUCACUUAUGGCCAUAGAAAUCUUCAGAGAGAAAAAGUUCCAGUCAUGCUAGCAUGCAACCUAAGAUUAUGAUCUCCUGCAAAGAGAGCUGUAGAAGCUAGAGGGAAUUCCAGGUCAUAUCAAGAGAAAGCCAUAUAGGUGUUCCUUUACUUAAACCAAUGACGAAGAGGUCAUCAACAUUGUUACUAACACUAGAUAAUGCAUUAGAUCAAAAAGCUUUAUAUCGCAGGCAGUAUCCUAAUUGCAAGUAUAAUACCUUUUCAAGACCUCCACGUGAUGUGACCUCCACAAAGAGUUGAUGCAGAUCUAGAGCCUUUCCUCCAACAACCAGAACCCUAUCCAACCAAAGCAUCAGGCGAACAUAUAUCCUAAGCAGUGCUUUUCUUUUCCUUAUUCUCUGUUUUGUUAUUUCCCCACCCCCACUUUCUCUUUCUCCAAUAGGUCACCUUUUUAAUACAAAUUUAGAUAGGUAAUAAGUCAAGAGGCACAUUCUUUAAAAGCCUUAAUAAAGAUGCAAAAGGAACCACAUCCUCUCCCCUAAAGAGGUGUGUGCACAAUGUGUGCAUGGUUGUUCAUGCAAACGGGACAGACUAUGAGGGUUGCAGGUUAGUAAAGGUUAUAAAUCCCAUAUCGAGGAAGAGGAUAGAUAUAUCAAGCAAGUAGCAUCAUCCACUGUAGGCAGAUAAAUGAUGCCAUAGUUAAGUGUUUGGAUCUAGAGUAACUGAGAUCGAUAACAUUUGGAAUAAACAAGCAGGAUUUACUGUCCCCGCUUUAAAGAGCAAAUUUUUAAUUGUUCUGUUAAUUUUCUUUUCAAUAAACAAAUUUUCAUGCUUUAAAUGUUGCAAUUACCAGCUACACAGAAAACAACGUUAGUGCUAUAUUCAUCCAAAACUUGACCAAUAGAACAUAGACAAGUCCCCACAUUGAAGCUAAGAAAAUGCAUACCAACAAAUGAACAGGGUCUGAUAAAAAGCAAAAACGUUAAAGGGGCGAAAUUGCAACAAUGAAACUUGAAAUUAAACUGUUAAAGUGGAAGACACUUUUUUGGUACACAAAGAGAUGAGAAAAACUUUUUCAGAAAUGCUAGUCCUGCAGACAGAUGAUGCAAUAAUGAAAGUUGGGAAAUUUUAUGUUUUGUGUUCCAUCCUGUAACAAUCUCGAGAGCAAGGGAGGCCCCCCAAAGUAGAGGAAAUCAAAAUUUUGAAUACAUCAUGCGGCAAAAAGGAAUGAACAUGAAAUUACAGCCAUUUCAAACAUAAAGGAUCAGGAUCUGACAACUCCUACUCUUGCAGAAGCAUAAGGAUUGCAAAGCAGGAAAAAAAAAACGACCCAGAUACAUGCACCCAUGUUAAAGACGAAGUUGGAAAUUGCAAGGAAAGAGAGUUACUUGAAUUUUUUGCCGAUUGAUUUGUUAAAAGCUUUGAGCUUUUCCCACAAAAGGUCAGAACUUUGAGCGACAUCCUUGUACUUGGCAGAUGGUGAGGGAUAGCGAGGUGUGUUGUUGUACUUCCCAUUUGUACUCUCACUCUGCUGCUGUUGUUGCUGAAACAUUUUUAGACUCAACUCAACAACAAAGGUAAAACAGUUUGGAUGUUGGAUUUUGGUUUGAUUAAGAUUUUAAAUUACCAACUAUUACCGGUAGAUAUAGAUUUUUUUUUUCUGUUUCCUGCCCUAUAUUAUUCAUAUAAUAUAAAAGCACUAAAAAAUUAUUAAUCUCUUAAUUUUAAUAAUUAAAAUUCAAUCUGUGUUAUUUUUAGUAAAAAAAUAAUAAUAAUCUUAAUCUUGGUAUUUGAAAAUUCCCCACCACGUAAAUUUUCUAUGAACUUGGCUUGGCUGCAUUGAAUGCCCCUCUAAACAAAAUAUCCAACGGUGGCAAUGCUGCAAUGCUUGUGAUAAAAGAAUUUCCCUCACUUUUUCAUUCUUCUUACUCACUCAACAAAUAGAAAAAAAAAUCCACUUUUCUCCGCUUUCAGUUUUGUAUCCACAUGCCUUAUUUUGAAGAAGGAAAAAUAAAUCCAAGAAUAGUGAUGAAUAUACAUAGGAAAGUAAAAUAUUAAAAGUAUUUUUGCCAUUAUAAUAAUAAAUGUUUAAUUUUCAAAUAAAAAUAUAUAUAUUUCUGGUUCUUCUAUCAUUGUUACCUUGUCUGUGAUUGUCUGGACCCAUUAAAAAUCCAGUUAGAAUACAUAGGAGCAAUAGCAUACGAGGGGGAUUUUGCCAGAGUAUAUAAAAGUCUAACCCCUUCAAUGGAUCAUAAUUGAUUGUUGCUUUAUUAAUGCCUGCUGCUGCCUGCUUGAUUUAGUUUUAAUAUACUAAUAGAUAGUUAGCAGUGGCUGUUAAUCCGAUGCUGGAAUGAAGAACCAGAAAGACUACUAAAUUAAUUAACAUAUGCAUUUUUGCCAACCAAAGUAAUUAACAUAUGCAUCCAAGAAAACCCAGAAAUUAGCAGGAGUAAAGCAAAACAAGAGAUCCAACCUCCCCCAACCUCAACUAAUAGACAAAACUAUACAUUGGUUCUAAUCAAAUAUAGCAUAACUUAUAAGAAGAAGUGGUUCAGCCAAAGAACUUGGGAUCAUAGCCAUUGCUGGAUGUUGCCAAGAUGUAGUAAGCAACAAUAUGGCCAAUGGACCCCAAGCAAGAACAUCGACGAUGUUGAAUCCCACAGGAUCGUUGGACUUGAGAAGGCUAACAUACUCCUUGGCUCGUGUGUCCCCAGCCUCAAAGUGUGUCAACCCGUUUUGCUCAGGCACUUGCUUGGCAACGUUCUCUCUUUGGAAGUUGAAGAACACAAACCUACCCAAGAAUAGGGAAAGACCCGUGCUUAGGCUUAUCACAAUUGGGGCGCUGAGCUCUGCUUUGACAGCAAGCCUAGCAGAUGAGUUUCUGGCGAUGCGGGUGACCCUGGAUGAGGAUUUGGCCUUGCUGAGGGGUCUGAUGCCUUGGAAUGAGAUGCUGGAGGGGCUGAGAUGGUUGCUGGCAUGGUUCUUUUGGAUGGUGGAGAAGAUGGGGGUGAACAAAGUUGAGGAGGCUGCCAUGGUGCCUGCAGAGUGCGGAUUGAAAGAAGUCUUGGAUAGUGAAAAAAAUAUAGAUUUUGUAGGAGAUGAUGAUUAAGGGAAGUGGCGUAUAAAAGAUCAUAUAGUAAAAACAAGUGGCAGUAGGAAGAAGGAGAGGGGGAUUGUGAGGAUGGAAAUGGUGGGAGAAAGAUUUUGGAUGUCGACUUGGCUUUGUUUCAUUGGUUUCUUUUGGAUAGAGAUUUUUGGGUCCAAAUGAGAAAAGCUGAAAAGUCGUUGGACUGUUUGAGAAAUUUAGCUUGGGGAAUAUUUAGUUAUUUACAGUUACAGACAAGGGGUGGCCAAAUCAGAGGGUUAGGUGUUCGAUUCACGGCCGAAAUUGAAACUGUUUUUAACACCACAAUUUUAGUAAACGAAUUGUCAAGCACCCUGGCCUGCAUCUCCUCGCUUUAUUACAACUUGGUUGAUUUACUAAAUCCAGCCCAUCUAAUCGUGCCUUUUUUUUUUUUCUUUUAUCAGAAGUCCAGCUUGGCUCUAAUCAAACUUUGGUUGGUUUACAAUUAGCUAAGUUCUUAUAGAGUGUGAACGUUUUUGUUCAGCUCAUUUAGAAAUGCCUUAAAUAUGGCUGAGCUUAGUUUGAUUAUAUACAAAGUUAAAAACUCAUUUCGGCCAAAUACCACGAAAAUGCAAACUCAAAUUAUCCUGCACAACAGGAUCAUAGUCAUUUGAAUGGCAGAUUCAUUAAAGAAAAUAAAAAGAACCCCCCCGCCUUCAUUCUUCUUGUUCACAUGAACAGCUCUGUCUAGCCUUCUGUACAUCCCCCUACCAUUAACAUCUUACGAUGAUUGACCCCCACAAGUGGCAAUGAACUAAAAUCUAAUUGAACAUAAAUAACCUAAAAUUACGAAAUACAGUUUACAUUUACACCUACAACCCUCUUCUACAGCUUGGAAUGUUACAAAUUUCCUCAAAUACCAUCAACCACACCAACAUUUUUAUUUUGCGUACUGCACAAUCAACUCACAUUAGGGAAUCAAGGUAUGAGUAGUUCCUCCGACGGCCAUACUCAAGAAGGCUACCAUAUGUACGAUCCCAUACACCAAUAAAGAGAGACUCUGUGUCCGGACUAAAGGAUAGGCCAGAUAUCUCACCAAAGAAAUCGAUUUCUUGCUCAUUCUCAUACCCACUUUUCACAUCAUACACAUGCACAAAGUCAGCAGGCUCAGCCAUUGCCAUGUAAUUACCAUCAGAUGUAUAGCGUAUAGACCGUAUUGCUCCAAGAUUUCCCUUGAGAACAGAAAUUGACCUGGACAAGUUCCGAACGUCCCAAAUCCGGCAAGUUUUGUCUUGGUUCCCGGUGGCAAAAGUGACACCGUCAGGAUGCCAUGCUGAUGCAAAUGAGAAGUCCAAGUGUCCACGCAAAGGCAUAACAGUCUACAAUGCAAUUUCAAGUCAGCCGAUGCCACAUCCUAGACUUUGCAAUCUCCAAAAAUGUAAAUAGUUAAAAAGCAAGCAGACAACUACCUUCCCCGUGUCAGAGUCCACCAACAUAACAUCAGGGUUGUCUCCAACUAUUAUUAGAAGUUUCCCAUCAGGGCUCAAAGAAGUAUGCUGCAAAAGCAACACGUAAGAAGAGCUUAUAGUAUUUCACCUCAUCGUCUCUACAGUGUCGAUAGAACCAAUAAUUACUAUGCUGCAAAUUAAAUUUUAUAUGGAAUAAUAUUAAGUGUAUGUUUACCAAUCUAAAACAAACGGAAUCCCAAUACAAGAAACUUACAUUGACCGGCCAAAGAAAAUGAAAAUGCUUAGAAAGUUGAUAUUUCUCCAUAUCAAAAUCUCUGACUCCACAAUCAUUAUUUGAGGCAGUAAAGUGAGCUGCACCACUGGUAAUUCAAAAACAAAGCAAAAUUAGGUUCAGUUGAAUGUAAGUAUGUGACCGAUGCCACCAGGAGCUCAGGGAACAAGAAAUACCUUGGAGUGACAUAAAUCUCGACAGCGUUUGUAAUGGCAUUGUCAUCAUAAGUUGUCCUAGAGCAGAAGCUUAUUCCAGGUCGAUCUAAAUGCUACAUUCCAAAUCAAAAUCAACUAAUUAAUUCUAAAGAUAACUGGCAACAGGAUAACACUAACCAAGAGCUCAGCAAAAAAAAAAAAAAAAACUCCUCUUCAAAUAUAAACUUUUAGCAUUUUUGCCGUUCUAAAAUUUCUAAGUAAUAAAUAGUUCAAACCAAGAUAAAAUUGAUAAACUUUGAAACAGAAUGAGCAAGAAAACAAAGUUCAUAAAUUCUAAUGAGCUUAAUAGAAUCAUUUAGCCAGAUCCUUCUCAUAACAUGAAAGAUAUGUCUAACAAUGGAUUGAACUAGAAUAGUUAAGAUAUGAACAAUUGACCUCAAGUGACUAGCAAAAACUGAGAAAGAGCUAUAUUGUAUGGAAAAGCAACUCUGCAACUGCCGCACAAAGGCUCAUUCAUUCUCUGAUCUUUUUUUUUUAUUGUCAAUAAAGGAUUUAGGGGGAAACAAGAUACAUUACUCACCUUGCAUAUCAGUUCACCCUGGAAUCCUCCAGCAACUAGCAGCUUAUCUUUUACUGCAAGGGUACUGACUUGAGUUUGUGUAAAACCUUCCAUCAGACUUCCAGGAUGUUUCUAAGAGGGAAAAACACGUUGAUCAAUCUCAGAGGAAAUGAGAUGGGGGAAAAGAAGAGAAAGGAAAAGAAAGAAAAGGGGAAAAACCAACAAUUCAGAGAAAAAGCAAAUCAAUGCCAGAAAACAGACCUCAGAUGGUGCCACAUGACCAGACACAUUAAGAAUUUCACGCUUCCCAUGUAUCAAUGAAGACCAAUGCAUGACAGAAAAAUGUGACAAAAGGUAAACAUCAUGUUUUGAUGUAGCCCAUACCAAGUUCCUUAACUGCACCACCACAAAUGGAUAUGCUUAUCAGUCAAAAUGAUCACAUCACAGUCAAAUAUACCAAAAGAAAAGGACAGGCCAGUAACAUUACAAGAUAUGAGAAAGAAAUUUUAAAAAUAUAAACAUAAAUCUUAAAAAAAAAAAAAAAUCCUUCUAUGACGUCACAAAAUAUGAAUGGGGUAAAUAUAGCUGAUAUAAAUUAAAUGAAAACUUCCAUUCAGCUAACCUGAAAAUGAAGUAUUGUUGAUUUCACAGAUCUUGAAUUUAGUCUGAAGUCAUAAUAUGAGGCACCCUUCUUGGUAACUUUGCAAUCCUAUAUACAAAUUGAAAUAUCAACUUAGUUCAAUUACAACCAAAACAUUAGAUCCAAGAAUUGUUAUAAAAGGCAUGCAGGCAACUUAUAAGGACUUUUACCUUCCCUGACCCUUCUCCAGACAGAGGGAUAUUCUCGUAGUUCUUGUACUGUUCUAGCCUUGUUUGCCUAUAUUUUUCCCUAGUGAUGCUAAGGCGAUCCCAAGGAAUUCCCUGGAUGUCUUUUCCUCUUCUAGCUUGAGCAGCAGAAGUAUCAGAUAUCUUAUUAUUCUGCAAUACGGUCAAAUUACAAUAGGCUGGCUUGAAAUCCAUGAAUACUACAACAAAAACUUUGAAAUAUUUAGAAAUAGUAAAGCCAUAUUUGCCUAAUCUAAUGAUGCGUGAACUUAGUUGCUCAAGAAGUGCCUAUGUGAAUCUUGUAAAACAUAAAACAAACCAAGUCGUCAUAUUCAUCAACAUCAGAGUCUGAGCCAGACAUAUCUCUGCCACAAAACUCUUCAUCCAUGUCAUCAUCCAUGUCUUCUAAGUCAUACUCAUCCAUGUAUUCAGCAUCAUCUUCUCGGUAAUGGGACAUAUUCCACCAGACAAAACAACACCUACACCAAAAUAAAUUCAAGCAUUGAUAAUAAAUUAAUAGUCACUCAACAAUAAUAACCAAACCAAUAAAGAAAAAGCCACACAACAUUGAAUCAGAAGAUUGUAUUAUCUUAGAUUUUUAAAUAGUAAACUUUGUGCUAAGUACACUGAUGAAGUGAUGAUUAUAAUUGAUAAGAUGGUGCAUAUUUAAAAUCAUCAAGAACAGUAACAUGACAUGUACUGCCACUAAAACUCAUGCAAGUUACAAUUUAUACAAUGUAGUGUUUAAGACAUUAAAAUGAUAUUCACAAUAAUUAUAAUUAAAUCAUCUAAUGGUAUUAUCUAAGGAUAUUGAACAUGAUAAUCUAACACUAACAGAGAAUAGAAACCACAACCAAGUCAGAAUUAAAGAGAAAAUCAAAUCUAUCACCAAACAUGGGACCCUCGUCAAAGGAAUGGAAAAGGAAAUGGAAACAAAUAUCUAAAAUAACAUGCUCAGACAAUCAUAAAUCCAUCAUAUAGGUACAGUUUUAUGCCGAUUUUCAAUGUGUAUGAAAGACUUACAUCAGCAUGGAAAUUAUCUAAUUAAAGAUUGAUAGCCUAUGAGUCAAUCCCAUCAUAGGUUAUUUAUGGGAAACAUAUGCUAUAAUAUAUUCUGAAGUAAUUUUUGCAAUAUUUUCAAUUCAAUUUUGCUAUAAUCACGUUAGGAUAGAGAUAAAAUUCACUUCUUAAUUCAAGCAUGCAACGCCCCAAAAACAAGACUAACAAAACUUUUCCAAGGUGCCUAAAUUUGGAAACUUUACCACCUAUAAAGGUGAGUUUUUUCUAUCUCACAUUCCUCUCUGCAGGCCUAUUCAUCAUUGUAGAUUUUGGGGUCCAAGAAAGAAGUCAAGUCCCAUGAAAUUCAAUACAUUUCAUUUUUGAUUUUCUAAAUUUAAAUAGCACUCAUAAAAACACGACAACAUGGCCCAAAUAAGAAAUGACCUGAUUAAUAUAAACCCUAAUGGAAAUUGAAACGAAAAAUUAAACUCCCAAAUGAGAACAAUCAUGCAACAACAAUUUGAUUCACUUGCAAAUAAUAACUGUUAUCAAGAAAUAAAACAAUAAUUAUUUAAAAAAAAAAAGGGCAAACCCUAAAAGUGUUUUAAAAAAAAAAAAGAAUUAAUUUGUAUAUGCACCUAUGCAUCGAUUAACAGAAACGAUGAAGAUGAUCGAAGAUUAUGAACAUAAAAAAAAAUGAAUCAUGAACGAGUAAAAGAGGAACCUUUAGAAAUAUAAGAGAUUAUGGGAAGCUGGUGUUGUCCUCCGAUCUGGUUUGGAGAUGAAAAUACGAGCAUCAGAAUAAAUUGCAUGUUUUUAAGAAAUAUAUAUUAUAUAUAGAAAAUGAUUAUUUAUAAAAGGUGAGGGUUUUUUUUUUUUUUUUUUUUUGAUGAAUAGAAGGUGGAUUUUAUAUACUCAAAAAAUUCGUUGAGGGAAAAAUAAUUUUGCUGGUAAUAGUAAAUAGUAAUAGUAUAGUACAUUAGUAUACUUUUAUUAUUUGCUAUGUAUAUGUAUAUAUUUAAAGGGUGAAGGAAGAGAUUAGAAAUUAUAAUUUGAUGAUUCUAUUAUAUAGAAUAAUUUUAGGUAGAUAUGAAUUAGUAAUAUGUACGAUACGACCUCGUUUAACCAUAAAUGAACUUGAACCCGGGAUUGACUUAAUGGCCCAAUAAGCUUAUUGCCAUCAUGGUCCUACACUCGUCCCCCUACAUUCUAUUGUGGCUUUGAUUAUAUCCAAUUCCCAUUUGAAUUAGUUUUCAAUAUUUCUUCUAAGAUUUCAAUAUCUCCGAGGAAAACUUCAUUUCUUUAGUUUUAUCAGAAGGAAAAAAGAAAAAAAAAAAAAGAAAAUUUACAUAAUUAUUCUUUAAUCAGAUAGGCAUGAAGAAACAAAAUAGUCUCGAUCGUCAGUGGUAGUUGUAGUACACUUUGUUUUUAGAAACGACAAACAUGGAUCAGACAGAGACACUGACAACAGUGCUUAUAUACACGUUAACAACGUAACAUUAUCAGGUGCAAGAUCAAACCCCGUUCCACGACGCACUCUAUCUAUGAAAUGAGUGUCAUUUCCAUCUCAGUCCACGUCAUCGUCAACCCACCCUUGCCUUUACCUUAUCUCCAUCCAUCUAUCCAUCUCACCUCAUUUCACAAUCCCACAUAAUAAAAUCCUCCUCUUUGUCCGCGCAUCAGCAAUGGCCACGCUGCUGAGGAAGGUCUGAGAAUCAGUCUCCUAUCGUUCCUGUUCCACCGCCGACUCUGCCACCCAUCCACCCUCACUCACUCAUUUAACUUCUUCACCUAUUACAACGACGUUAUCAUAUUCAUCGCUGGGAUCCCUCUAUGAAGAAGAGAAGAUUACAAUGGUAUUUGGGUCACACCUGAUUAUGUAAAGUUUAGUUGUAGUGAGAAAUAGUUGAACUUUACCAUGGUAGAAAUAGUUGAACUUUACCAUGGUUAAGUCAGAUUUUCACCUCUCUUCUGUAUUGAUCACUCCAGAUACUGAAUCUGCCAAACAUCAAGAAGGCAGCUUAAAGAUGCCAUCCACACUGUCUUAUUUGACAUGAAUGUUCCUGCUAUUUGUGCUGUCAAUCAGGUAGAUCAUUGUAUUUAUAGAUAUUGUCUAGUAAUUACUGUUCUUAAAAGAAACAACCAAAAGAGAAAGAGCAACAAAGCAAAAAAAAAAAACACAAGGAACUUGAUUGUUAAAUGAAGCUGCACAAAUCCCUUUUAUUUGCUGGUAAUAGUCGUCCAAACCACAUCCAGAAAUAAAACCAAUUACUUGAUUGAAAACCAUAAAUCACGAGUGAAGGACAUCAUAAUUAAAUGAACUUAUAUACCAAUUUUUUUUAUGCACAUUCAGCCCAUGUGCCAAAUCAUCCAUAUUCAAUAACACGUUCAAAAUUAACUAGUAGCAACAAUAUUAAGUAAUAAAAUCAAAACUUGUUUAGUCUCAAAACGACCUGCAAAGCUCAAUAACCUCAGUAUCUCCUACCAGCACCACCCAGGUGACCAAAAACUGGGGGAGCAAUCAUAGUUUGUGGUUCAACUUCAAGAAGACCAGGAAUAUCAGCCAUGCCAAGAGCAGAAAGCAUGUCAAGAGUCUCCUUGUCAACCUUAAUUUCGUCGGUCUUAAUAGCUGACUCAUCAGGAACAAAGUCCAUGCGACGCUCGCGCUCUUCUUCUUGAAGCUUAAGUGAGAUGCCACGAACUGGACCCUUCUGAAUGCGCUUCAUCAAGUGGGUUGAGAAGCCAGCAAUCUUGUUACGAAGGCGCUUCGUAGGAAUGAGAGUAACCUCUGCAACAAUCUUCUUGUUGGUGUGGAAGUCCAAGGUCAUGCGAGAGUAGUACUUCUCAAUGACCUGACGCGAAGACUUCUUCACUGUCUUGGUGCGAACACGACCCAUCUCAGAUAAUUUAGCUGUUCCUGCAAAGGGAAGAGGAAGAAGAAAUGAAUCUAGAAACUAGAAUGAUUCUUGGUUUCACCUCAGAAGUAGGGGAAACGCAAAAACCUCUAGUUGUAGGGAAGAAGAAAAUUCAAUCAGCAAAAACAAGUUUGCGAAAUGAAAAAUCAGAGUCUAUUGAAGCAUUGUAGAAGACAAGGAUAAAUGAAGGCUUGUGUAGAGACCUAAGAACCAAGCAGAUAGGUUGUUAAAAGACCAUCAAAGUGUUUCCACAUCUUUCACAACUUCAAAAAGUAAAUUUGGUCCAUUCUGUGAUGUAUAAUGCCCAGAUAAACCUACUGGUUCAUUUUGGACAUGACAAAGUGACAACAGCAUAUAAAAAGAACUUUUUUUACAUUUUCUGAGUAACCAAUCAAACAAUGAAGAGAAGAACGUACCUUGGUAAAGAAUCAGGACGCCUGAGAAAGAGGCUGCACCUAAGACUCAAAAGAAGAAACAAAACCCAGCGCCAACAGCUUGGAAUAUAAACCUCCGGACGGGUAAGGGCCUUAAUCUUAUUUUAGGGUUUUUAACCUUUCAGUAAUUUUUUAUGGGCCCAUGAUCUCUAUGUACGUAUACAGUUGAAUCCGUCUAUCUUUUUUCUUUUUAUACAAGUAAGCUUUUGUUUUGCUAAAAUUGCAAUCAAGUCCUUGAAUUGGAGCAAAACAAGUGAUUGGAGGCUUCUUGAAUUGGAGCAAAAUUUUCAUCCAAUGUCCAAUCCAUUUGUAUGAAAGAAAAUUCAUUUUUGUCUUCCUGCCUUUUUCAUCUCAACUACAGCUAGUAUCUAGAUCUAAUAGUUGAACUUUUCAUGGGAAUGUGAUAAAUUAUACAUGUAUGAAAAUAUUAUAUAGUGGAUCAAUAAACUUUAAAUCACUUCUGAUUCUAAACUCUUAAAAAAAAAAAAAAACUCUUUUAUGUUCAACUAUUUUAACUUAUAGCAGAUUUACGUAGGGUCUUUUUGUUAUUUUGCAAGAAUUUAUACGUACACUGUAGAAAGGAGCAAAUUGAUGGAGAAAAAAAAUUAAUUAGUAAUGGUAUGUAUUAAGCACAAAUCAUGUCCAACAAAUAGCGGGUAAGUUGAAAUGAAAUUGGCAAAUAAUAGUUUUGUUGUUCCAACUUUGACAUGCAAAUAGUAGAGACGACACACAAAUCUAAUUUUCUCCUUCAGGAUCGGGAGAGAUGAAGUUGUAUGUUAGGCAAGGAGGUUUUCAGGAUAUAGAAUCUAUGUAGUAGUAGUAGUGGCAGUUCACAACUUCACAUCACCAACUAAUACACACGUCAAAGCUCGGUACGUGUGCUAAGAAGAUACCACACCCCCAUUAGCAUUGCAAACCCAUUCUCACACAGCACUAUUCUCCCAACUAUUACCAGUAGCAUUCCAAUCUCUACCACAUUUCUUCAAGUACAAAGAAAAGCAUGGCUGACGAACCUCAUGUAUCAAAAUACUGUACUCUUCACAAGGUUAAAAGUGGGAAUAUAAUAUAUAAAUCAACAAUUGGAAUAAAUGGAAUUCACUUCCAGGCUUUCACAACAACAAGGAUAAAAACAUUAGGAACCCGGCCGUGGCCAUUAGCAGCAUCGAUGGAUUACAUAUUAGCUGACUACCACUAGCAUUCUCUGAUGUUGAUGGAGGUAAUGCAGGGCAUGCAAGCCCUUCUUUCCCUUCAUGGCACUCACUAGCAAAAAGACCCGGAGGAUAUUUCCCAUAAAGAUUAAUGUAGCUGAACAUAGUUGAAGCACAAUCGGUUGUCAAGUCAUUGAUCUGUUCCACAUAAGGACAAGCAAAUUCCUUGAACGCAGAACAACAACUUUCAGGUGGAUACUUGGGUCCUUUGCAUUGGCUUGUGAUAAUUGUGUAGUUCAGAAACUCAAAGUUAACUGGGCAAGCUGCAGAUAAAGAAACAAAAUAGUAUGUCAAGUUUAAUAUCCUUUCAUAGUUAAACAACAGAGCCCACAAAAAACCUUUGCUUUCCAUCUAACAUCUACAAAGCUCCAAGAGAUCUUUCGAUGGAAUCAACUUUUUCUAACGUUGCUGUUUGACAAUAUUUGAAUUAUGUGGUGCACAGGGCUUAAGGCGAUGAAAUAAACUUCUGGAAUCUUCAAUAAGCCGAGCAAAAACGCAAAAAUUAACAUAGCUAUGCAGUUAACAAAUGGGUAUCGAAUUAUGUGACGGAUAGUAUUAAGGGAAGGAAACAUGUACAAGAUCAUCUAAUUCUAGCAAAGGUCUGAUUAUUUAACAUUUGCCACAAAUGAUUUGCAAAUCUUGAGUCUCAUCUAGCUCUUGGAAAAUAAAUGAUAGGACUAAAUAUGCACAAGUUUAGGGUGUCGUUUAGUAAAGAACAACAUUAUUACGCACUCGGAAAAUUUCCCUUACAAGAACAGGAGACAUCGUGAAAGAAAAAUAAAAUAGCACCCAACAUCAAUUGAAUGAUAACACUGAAUAUGGUUAACUUACAGAAGAACAUACCGUUUGACUGUUUUCGAGCUUGGAAAACAGAAAACAAGCAGGCAAUAAAUGGGUUGAUGAAUGAUAUUUAGCUCUGCUAGUUGCUCCAAUAAUAAGAUGUUUUUAAAAUGUAAGAUGAACCAAGAAAACAGUUUGAUAGCAUCUUUGUCGUUACAACGUAGAGCAUCUAUGUUGAUGAUAAACACCUUAAUCAGCAAAUUUCAUAUUUUCAGUUUGAUGGAAAUCGUUUAUUGUUUUGGUAAAAUGUCAAUGAAAGUUUCGUAAUGUUUAUGGUUUUAAUUAAAACAGAAUGGCAAAAGCAAGAAAACAAUUUCUCCACCAGAGCUUCCGGAAAAUUAAGACAAGAUAAAAAGUCCCCGUCAGUCCCUUCCUCCCCCUGAUGAAGAUAUUAGCAUAAGCAGAAUUUCAUCAUCUGAGAUUACGGCUAAAUCAUUUGUGUGGCACAUCAACCAAACUCAUUUAUCUCCAUUAAAAUGGUGCAAUAUUAAAAAGGGAGAAGAUCUCAAAUGGACUAACACCAAGAAAAGAAAAUCUCAAAGCAUCAGAUCUGGUAGCAAAUGAUUUAUCUGAUUCUAAACCCUAUCACCGAACCUUUCUUUUUCGAAAAUUAAAAAAAAUAAAUAAAUGGAGAUAGAAGGUAAAAAAGAACCUUUCUUGGUCUGAAGGAGGUUCCUUCCUGUGGAAAUGAAAGAGUCGAAGACACCAUCUGCAUUCAGAUCAUCAAUUAUUAGAAGGUGAAUGAUGGAUUCAGAAGCUGGAGACCCUGUAAAAUCUUUUGAUAAAUACCUGAAAUUGAAGUGGAAGCAGAGACACCCAACAAAAGGAAGAAAAGUGCAAACCAAAAGAACAACUUUUCUCUCCCCAUCAAGUACUUCUGUUUUUUUGGUUUUUGCUGUGGGCUAAUAAAAGGAAAGCAAGCAGAUCUGCCUCCUUUCUGGGGCAGAGCAAUAUAGAAUGGACUAUUAGAAAAUCAAGGCUUCUUUAUGCUUUGCAGCUUCUGUUUCUCUUCUGGGUAUUCAAGCAACAGAAAAGCCAAAGCUUCAAGCUUUGAAAUUUGGAAUUGAAUAAUAUAUAAAAUAAAGAAAGACAAAGAAGAAAAGAGAAAAGAAGGCGGUGUGUUGGUUUGCUUAUGAUUCAAAAUGGGUUACAGCUAAAAACGCGAAAACUGGGCUCCUACUCCAACUGUGACUGUCCAAACAUAAGUUUUUGAUGAUUUUAAGACUGUCUGACCACUGUUUUGUUUUACCAGCUACUAGCUGAUAACUGAUGAGAUCAACUUUUUCAACGAAAGUUAUGGAGCAAGAUAGUAUAUUAGAAAACGAAGCGGCAGCAAAAGAGGAAAAGGGAAUUUUCCUUUCUUUUUAGUUUUUAAUUUGUUCAAUCUAUACCUUCUCAAUUUUCGUCCAAAAAAUAUCUAACUCAUGUGUAAAACUAUAAACUAUUUUAUACACAGAUGCCUGCAGUUGUCAUUGCCUUCAGAAGUCUAACUAAACAACAACAAUAGUUGGCCAAAAUAAUCAAUAGCCUGGCAGUAAAAUGAGUUGAAUUUUAAACCUGAAAAUUUUCGAGGCAUUUUUACAUUUUUUUUCUCUAAAAUCUUACAUGGAGAGUUAAAAAUAGAGAUAUAGUAGAACUCACAGGGAGAUAGGAUUGGUAGCUCAAUUAGCUUUCAAUGAAUUUUGAUUAGACUCAAUUUUAUAGGAUUGAUUUUUACUUUUAAAUUUAAAUUUUUAUUGAAUAAUAUUAAAAAAAAAUUAAAGUCAAGUUAAGUUUAAAGUGUAAGUAAAUUCAAUCUGAUCCGAUUUAAUAUUAUAUAAAAAUUAUUUUUUAAUUUUUUAUUUAUAUAUAUAUUUAUAUAAUUAUAUUUAAAAAAUAAUAUUUUAUUAAUUUUAAAUCAAAUUGAAUUGGGUAUAAUUUAUACAAUAUCAAAUCGAAUCGAAUUUAAAUAUAAUAAAAAAAUAAAAAAAUUUAGAUUCAAAUUUUAUAAAUAUAAAAUCGAAUCGAAUUUGAGAAGAAUAAAAAUCAUCUCGACCCAACUUAUUGUCGACCCUAUACAAAGGCGAGCAUAAUUUAUUUGCGCCAACCUUUACAUUAAUAUGUAUAUGAUUGGAUUGCAUUUAUAUCAGUUUUGGCAUAAUAACUCCAGGACCUUAACCUUCUACCAUAUGGUGAGGUUGCUAUUAUUAAUUACUAACCUAAAUGCUUGGUCAGCUUUCCAGACAGAACCAGCCAUGCAAAACGAAAAACCAAGGAAUAUCGACCCACCAUUCUUUUUUUCUUUUUUUAAUUUCAUUUAAUUUGAACAUCUAAAGGAUUAUUAAUUUUUUGAUUUAAAAUUAUUGAAGAUUGAAAAUUCAGUAUUCCACUUCUAGAUCACAUAGACAUCGGCAAUGAUUAUCAAACUCAUUCACUAUUUUACAACUAUAUCAAUCAUUAUCAUCAAAGAAUGAAUGAAAUUACCCUUUCCUUUCCAUAAGCUUAUCAUAACAAACAGAUAUUCUCAAGAUCUUUUGGCCGUUUUGGUACGGCGGUUAUACUUAGACGCGUGAACAAAAUAAAGUCAGCUCAACUCUCUUUGUUAUUGGCCUGCAUGCAUUCUCCCAAUAUAUAUACUCCCUUGAUUUGAAAGUGUUGUCUUUGAUUUUUUCUACUAGUAUGAAAAAGCUAGCACGGUGGCAAGAAGACUCGAAAGAAAAACAAUGGUCAAGAGAUGGCCUCCGCCAACCGCAAAAAGGCUAUAUAUGGCCACAACUCCCUAAAGAUAACAUUAUCAGGGAAGACUCGGGUCGGCUGUCCUGAUCAAGAAUCUUUAUUUUCCACUUUCUCCUCAUGAAAUCAUCAAUGCUCGCAUAAUCUUAAGCAGCAACUGGGCAAAUGGUUUCGGCCAGGGCCAAAGGGUUCUAACUAAGAACCCCCUGAAAACUGCUUAGGUUCUGCGAUGGGUUGGCUAAUAUCCAGUCUUAUCAGAUCAAUGUUUGGAUCGCUUCUGGGGCUCUAGGUGGAUGCUUUAUGAACCCAUAAUUGCCUGCAAACGGAUAAAAUCCUCUCAGCUCCAUCAGGUGACCUAGACUCUAUAUAUACCUAUAUAUAGCACUUGAAGGAAAUCCAAGUUUAGCUCUAACUAGCUCCAUCAGGUGAAAAAGACAGAUGAAAGGCGCACGGUUGUUGAUCGCAACCCACAAAUGAAACUUAAUAUAUCAGGAAGUUGUGCCUCUAACUAGCAAGGACCUCUUGCACUAGUAGAUAAAUUAGAUGCAUAUUGACUCUAAUCCAGCAGUCAUAAGGCGUGAGCAAAGCCAUUCCCUCCGACGUUAUAGAUUGUAUUGCCUGUAUAUUGAGGGGAAUCUUGGACAUUUUCCUUUUAUCUAAAGCAUCUAUAGAUAUAGUGGAUGAUGUUUUCAGGUCUUGGAUGUCACUCUCCGUCUCAGAUAGUGAAGUGGGUCAUGAGAAAAGGAAAAUGUAUGUGUUUUAAGUGCCCUUAUUUGACCUUGUGUCAUGGUGGCUUCCAUGGAACUCCAGUUAGGAUUCAAAAUUUCAUUCACUAUGCUCAGUGUUUACAUUAAGUAGGACAUAGCUAUUAUAUUCAUUCGAACAUAAUGAGAUAAAAACAAAAACAUUACUCAUUGUAAGACUAUAUUUCACUUUUUUUUUUCUCCACACUGUUUCAAAGAUAGGUUUUGGAAAAAUCCUUAUAGUUCAACUGUAACUUCAGUCAUGUGGGAGGUGUUAAAAGGAGACGAAGAAGGCAAAAAAAAAGAGUCCAUCCCCCAUGCUUCGUCCACGAGCCACGAACAAAGAUGGGCUCAGAUGACGUUCUUUGUCUGCAUCGACAUCCUAUAGCUCCACUUUGUCUGCAAGCUCAAUCUCCAAACAUUCAACAGAAUAAUCUUCGUUGCUGCAACAAGUAUGCCAACAAUCGUCACUCCUCGCGUGAAGAAAACAAUGACUUGAAAAGAAUUGAUAUACACCAACAUGACAAAUCGGCAUUUGAAACUCUAAAGCAUGGCUAGAGGCUAGAGCUAAUAUUUCAUAAGCCUGUAACAAUUUUCUUUUCCAUAAACAGAUUAGCUGAUGGUUGCCUUUCUCAAAUAGAAAGUUAGGCUUUGAAUUCCUUUUCAUUUGGUGUGAAAUCAUCAAGCAAUGGCUUCACUUAUUACUUACCCCCCCCCCCCCCCCUUCUUCUGCUGCCCUUAUCACAUUGACAGAGUACUAAAACACAUGAAACCUCCUAAACACCAGAAUAGGAUCAUGUUCAAGAUUGCAACACUGUGGAAUAUACUAUUUUAUAGAGAAUGGAACUUACACGACAUUUAGAUGCACGUAUAUUUUCCAGCAACGCUGCAAUCUCAAGUUGCUUCAUUACUGUAGGAUGCAGAACCUGUAACAUGAAACUUUUGUCAAUGAUUGUGAUCAUUUAAAUCAGUCUUCAAACCUCUAAUUUAUGUAAAGCAAUUUCCAUGAGCCAUACUCGCUUAGUUUUGUCAAGGUCAAACUUGACAGAUUUGAUUCGGUCCAGAGAUUCCAUAAGCAUUUUCUCCUUUUCUGCGGGAAUUCCAGCAGGUUUGUUGCUAAGUUCCUCAAAUGCUUUCUCUAGUUUCUGAAGACGCUCUAAACAUGGAAGGACAUGGUUUUCUUCAUUAACAGCUUCUGGUGCUGUUGAAUUUGAAUGGCUCUUCGUGUUGGAUUCCAUCAAUCAUAUUCGAAGGAUGAAUAUUGUUUGGCCUUCUCCAAAAUUCAAAUUGAACAGUGCGAAUAAAGGCAACCAGUCUAACCAAUAAACCUAUUAGCAUUUUUUCCACAGAAUAAAUAUUCCUUCUCCCCACCUUUUCCUUGACAGUGUCUAACCAACGGAUGACUGAAAUUCCUCAAAUUUGAUUCAAUUUGGAAAACAAGUCCAAAGAAUAGGGAAUUAUAACAAAAAAUCCAUCAAGUACAGGGUAAAUUAUCCACAUCGUAUGUGAAACCAGAUAGUAAACAAGAAACACAGUCCAUGCACCAUCAAACAAACGAUAUAGCAAAGGUAAAUUUAAAGUAUCCUCCUCUAAGAAGAGAAACUGAUUACUGUGAUAAAAUAGCAUUUUCAAAUACCUUCCGAAUAAUAAGAAGAUGUUCUUUGAUGAGAUUGGCAAUCCACAUAACUACAAUUAGGCAACUGAUCUGGGGAAUAUAGCAGUCCUAGGUCACUUUCUAUAGUUUUCUCAACCAGAGGGAAACUAUCAUCACAACUAUAGUAAGCAUUUGGAUCUGACACCCCCACCUGCAUAAAUCACAAUCAUUUUUAUUAAAAAGGCACAGAAACACACAUUAGUUACCACAUAAAACAGAAUUCUCUGCUUUUGCAACUCACUUCCUCAUGAACUGGUGCCAGACAAGGAAAUACAGAGCUUCUUUUUCCAAUUGGAGAACACUGGUCAUCAAUAUCUGAUCCAGACUCUGCUGUUGACGUUUCACUAGCCCUUCCCUGACAAACAUAGUAUGUGUUAAAACACGUGCAGAGAAGAUAUAAUCACAGAACAGUAAUGUCCUCAAUGAUCAUGAGACUAAAUACUUGCCUUUAGUGGCCGUGUUUUAACAUGGGAGUCAUAUUUAUGCUGGUCAUUAGAUACUCUGGUGAUCUGCCUCACAAAUGUUGCUUCUGCAUUAUGUGCAAGCUAUCAAUGGAACCAUAUGUUAAUCUACGGACAAAAGUUGAGUGAAACCUAAAAUCAUGUCUAACAAACAUUCCAUGCUUGAGAGGAAGAAACAGCAUAUUACAUAAACAGAACUAAGUUCAUUAAAGGGAUGGUUACCUUCAUUAUCUUCAGGAUCAUUCCAUGGACCUUUAUUGGAUCUAAGACACCCUCCCUCCACAGAGCAAGUGCAUGACCCUCCUAAGAAAUCAGGCAACUGACUAAAAGAGGUGAAGGAAAAGCAAGGACUUAGGAGGGAUCAUAGGUUGAAUUCUCUUGUAGGUAAGAAUGUACAAAUAAUUAACAGACCUAGAGUCAAUGAUUUCGAGUAGCCUACCGAGAGAUUUGGUCUCCAAACCUGCAAAUUAUAAAAAAAAAAACUGAACUAGGGAGCAGGAGAAGGGGAAUGGAAAGAAGAAAGCCUAAAGCCAUAUCCUUUACAUUUAUCUUUCCAAUUGUCCUUGCAUCAAGAAAUUUCUGAGCAACCGGCCAAAGCAUCUUUUUGAAUCCAGGACCAGCAUUGACUAUGUACAUUCCGUGUAACGUCUGUAAAGCCAUACAAAAAAGAAUUACAUAACAAAUAGAAACAGAAAGUAAAAACAUGAUUCGAUUGGAUCAGAUACCUAGGGGUAAUAACCGUUGUCUAAUUUAGUCAUGGCAGCCAAAAGAUUUGCAGCAGUCCUGCUAAAAUUCUUCAUGCCCUACGUUCAAAAUCAACAUUUAAUUACCGAUUAUAAUUCUACCAUUAGGCUGCUGUAAAUGAAACAAAAAAAGGGGCAUCAAUAGAGGAAGAAAAUUUUUCAAUUUCCCAUAGUAAAUAUGACUGGCCCUAUUGCACACUCCAUUAGUGCCUCUGCUUAAGUCAUUAAUGAAAUGGGGCCAUAGCAAAUGUAAAGUUAAAAUGCAGCUUUUGUAUUCAGUUCUAGUGCUAGACCUUAUAUCUAAAAGAAAACUUUCGAGUAGAUUGACAAUGCAGAAUUUUUCUAAAAGCUACAAGGCUAGCAAAGUUCUGCCAUAAUGCUAUCUAUAAUGUUGUCAAAUCUUCUAUUUGUUAAAGGAUGUCAAAGAUAAGAGCUAAAUACCAAUCCUUGUACAUCCAAUAUAGUAGUUGUUGAGCAGAUUUGUUGCUUUGCCGCAAUUGAACAAGCAGGGAAUUUCUCCAAAAGAGCUCUCUCAAACUCUUGGACAUGGUACUUCAAAUAUUGAUCUAUGGUGGUGAUACGCAGAAGCCUACUUGGAUGGGCUUUUCCUAGCCGCUCAAUAUAAACAGGUCUCCCUUCCUUGUCAACUCCAUGGUACGCUUGGGGAUAGUAUUGCAAUACUUCUUCCAGCUCUUCAAACUCGAAAUCCUAAGUAUUGAUUGACGACAAAAGGUUUAAACUUCUAUGAUAAAAACACAAAAUCUAAGGCGCCAGAAAACUCUUUGGCCCCGUCAAAUAUGAUGCAAGACAUUCAUUUGUGGUUUUAUUUGUUAAGUCUUCUCCAGUAAAGCAUUCCAAAUUUAAUAAACAUUAUAGACUGGAUUCUAGAAAGAACAAAGUUUACAUUUCUCACCUCCAAAAUGGUGUCUGUUCCGAACUCUCUCCUCCAUUUAAGCAUUUCUUCCCACAUCUGGAUUGUUUUUCCAAUGUUAAACUCUCUAGCUUUCAAGAACCUACACGUUAAAAGUAGUAGUACUUCUUAGCAUACUUGAGUUGAUCAGGUAUAAUGUGAAACAUUCAACAAACAGAACUGUGGAAUUUGGCAGCUUAAGCUUAAUAAAGGCUUACACCCUUGUGUCUGAAAAGCACCAACCGACCUCAACAAAGUAUGAUAAUCGUCAUGCUUACGAGGCAACAAAUCCUUAUGAACAAGUUUUUGACGCAAUUCAUGAGCCGCAGUCUCCUCUUUUGCAUCCCUGACAUCCUCAAUGGAUACAGCAGGAAACCGGUAAUCUAUUUUCGUCUUCCCUCUUUUCUUAAGAGAAUGAGUAAACUUGUUGGAUGCAUUUAUGGCCUUCUUUUUCAGAUUUCCAAUUUUGGAUCUCCUUCUCUCAUACUCAGAGUUGUCAAAAUCAAACCUUCUGUCUCUGCUUUCAUCAUUUGCUCCAAUUUCAACCACCCGUUCCCAAUAUUGACAAAACCAAAAUAAAUUAUAAAUUAAACAGGACAGAAAUGCAUUCUUGAACUAGCAAACAUAUAGUAGUAGUAGUAGUAGUAGUGUUAACUAAUAUACCUGACAUUUCAGCGCAAUUUAAAAGGAAAAGCUUUGUUCUUUGAAGCUAGUAGUAUUGUUCAAUGGAAUGAAAAAAAAAAAAAAAAACCCAUCAUGCUCUGCUUCUGCACACUGUGAAAAAGAAAUAGAAAACAGAAAAUAGAAACUAAUGAAUUGAAAUGAAUCAUUUGGCAUUAAGAAGCAAUAACUAUAAAGCAGCAGAAUUUAUGGAAAAAAAGUAAAAUGUAGAGUUGAAAUAUGACAAAGAAAUAUGAGGGGAUGAUCAGAUCUGGACAAAAAUGAACAAGCUUUGCUCUCAGUUAUCAAUGAAAGCUUAAGGACUUGCGGACUAAUUUUCUUCAUGUCUCCUUACUCAAAAUGUUUUAUUUAUUAAUUAUUAAAAUGAAAUAAUUACUCUGGAAAUUGGGGAUUAAUGGUAGUAUUAGUUCAACUAGCUUAUGUCAGCACGCCAAUACUUUUAUUUAUUUAUUUAUUUUUAUAUACAAAUCUACAAUUAUAUAUUUGAAUAUUUACCAAAAAAUAAUUAAAUAAUUGUUAUCCUAAGUGGCGGCUAAUAUGGAAUGGGGGUGACGGUGACUUACUGACUUUUAAGGAGUAAAGUCGUUUUCUCACUCAGAUUCUAGUAAUACUAGUAUUAUUUAUUUAUUUAUUUAAGCAUAUAAAUAUUUAACUUUGCUUAUAUUUUACUUAUAAUCGGAGUAACACUACUGAAAUUAAAAUAUGGUCCGAAAUUCCAUAUUUGAUUAAAUCAAUUAAAGAAUUUUUUUUAUAAGAAAAAAUUUAAAGAUAGAUAAAUUAAUUAAUUUUUUAAAUUAAAAUAAAAUAUAUUAUAUUUGAUAAUUUAAAAUAUAUGAUUAUAAAUUAUGCAUUCAAAAUGAUUUCAAUAAAUAUUUACAUACAAAAUUUAAAUUUAAAAUUUUUUUAUCAAAAAAAAUAAAUUUAAUUUAAUCGAUUGAAUUAAUUAUUUAUUAAAAAUUAAAGAUCAUAAUUUUUUGUUGCCUUGACUCUAAAUUAAGGUAAUUUUUAAUUUUAUAUUUAUAUAUAUAUAUAGAUGAUUAUGAUUUAGUUACGAUAGAUGAUGAUGGAUGAUACGACUAGACGAAGUGAAGAAGCGAGGAAGAGAGUAGUCAAGGAGUGAAUGUUAAAUGUAUUAGUACUUAAAUUUUAAUUUUUUUUAUAAGCUUUUAUUAAUAAAUAUUUUAUCAAUUUAAAAAAUUUAUAAAUAAAAAUUUAAUAAAUUCAAAAUUUUCAAUUAAAUUAAUGAUUUAUUUUGACUUUUAUGAAUUGAUUUUCUUACUCUUAAAUUAUUUUUGAUAAAAAAUAGUACAUAUUAGCUUAGGUCAGCAUGAUCUCUCUUUCUUUGGCAAAAUUACAAUGGUGGCAGUGGCUUGGGCUCUACCCUUGCACGAGGCCAGAGAGUAAGAUCUCCAGAAUCCAUCUCUAUCUCAUGACUUGGCUUUUUCUGCUUGUGGUUGCGCAUCCAUGACUCCACCUGUCAGCCAUCCCCUGACUAAGUCUAAACUACACAUCACUGUUUUUCAAUCCUAGGACCAGGUCUUGGAAACAUCAUUCAAUGCUACUAGUUAGUAUCCUUUUCCAUAGAAACGGAACUGUUAAAUCUUAAAUACUACUACUGCUACAAUUUAGACAGUUCUACUUUAUCAUCAGCAGUAGCAGCACCCAGCAGCCCUGCAAAAUCACAAAUGCAAAACACAUGAAAAAUCCUCGCUAGAAACGCCAACCCCACCUGUACCAUGCACCUGAAUCCACCAUCAUCACAUUCAAUUUCUGAUCAAACAUUUUUACUACAAAUAUUUAUAUAAACCACAAAAAUGAAUCCAUGAAAAUCCAUCAUUCUAGCUAUUUUUUAUCUUUAUUUGGAAUAAAUGUGACUGUUGAUGAAGUAGUUCUUACUAGUACUCCUAAGUUAACCAACGAGUUUGAAACAGGUCCAUCCAAGACACAUUAAUAAAGCAUGUUUUCGCGUAUCUAUGAGGAUGGUCCCAUGCUAUCCACCACUCUUAAAAAAAAAAAGUACUGGUUGGUAAUUGUGACUUUUAAGUCAAAUUCUUUCAUUAUCUAAUUAUUGUUAUUCAACUUUGAUUUUGACUAACAUCCAGUAAAAAAGUUAGCUUAAAGAGGAAGGUUUAAUGUGGUCAAUGAUUUUGGACCAUUCUUAUUGCAUCAACACAUGCACAAUAUUGUUCAAGCCAAGCUCCACAAAUCAAUCAGGUUGUUUGAAAAAUUAACCAAAGGAAGCUAAAGCUCAACUUUCGUUAUGAUUGCAUUUGAGUGGUCACAAACUCCGCAAGCAUGCCACUACAUUUUCUACCCCAAUUCGUGCAAUAUAUAUUAAACAUUAAAAUAACAUUAAAAUUAUCACAUGUAGAAUUGAGACAUAACACGAUCAUAUUAUUUUUAAAAAAAUCUCAAAAUAAUACGAAGACUUUAUUUCUUAAACAUUUUAAAAUUCUUCAAUAAAAUAAUCUAUCCAAUAAAAUUCAUAUUUUUAAUCUAGCUGAUAAUACAUCUUUAUAUAUCCAAAUACAAAUCAUAUAAAACACAAAACUGCCUCUUAAAAUCUCAUUGACCAACAUAUUCUCCGAUGAUUAAGUAAUCUUACCCAUUUCAUCUUCUAGUUUCAUAUAAAACUAAUCAAACUUAUCACUUAAUCAUCUGUAAAGAAAAAGUAAAAGGAAAAUGAGCAAACCACAGUUCAGUAAGUAUAGGCUCACACACCUUACCAGAUCAAGUAUCGUUUUCUUAUACAUCAUAUAAAUCAUUCAAAACAUUCAUCAAAUCAUAAUAUCAAAAUAUUUCAAGAUCAUCGUUUUGUCAAAUAUUUCAUAAAUUCAUAAAUCAAUAUCAAAAUAUGUCACUUUAUAAAUUAUUGUAAAAUAUGCUAUUAUUCAAAUAUCAUAAUCAAACCAAAUCAUGGAUUAAUCAUUAAAAAUCAUCAUAAGUCAUCAUAAUCAUAAAUCAUCAUUAUCAAUCGUUUAUCGUUAGCUACGGUCAUUGCUAUAACCCGUGACAUUGGUCAUAUCGAUAAUUUCAUCCUUAUGAUCAUUGCUAACUAUUAUAACCCGUUAGCCAAGGCCUUACGCUAACUACUAUUACCCGUUAGCAGGAUCGUAUAAUCAUGUCUUUGCUAACUACUAUUAUCUGUUAAUCAGGGUCGUAGAACUAGUUCUGGUGUCGAUGAUCCUACUUCCUAGAGAUAUAAAAAAACGUAACCCUCACAAAUCAUUCUUUAAUCAUAAAUCAUUUUCUCAUUUCAUUCAUAAGCAUGAUCCAUCAUUUAUAUAGAAAAACACAAAAUAAUCAUAUGCUUGAUCCUAUUUUCAUACAUCGAAAAUAAAGAAAUAAAACAUUCUUUCAUUUAGAAACACACAUAUAUAUAUAUUCAUAGAUUCAAAAAUAAGCAAAGUGUGUGAGAUUCUACUUACCUCCAUUCGAUUUCACCACUUAGUUUUUCUCCUAAAAUAAUUAAUGGCCUAUCCAAGAUCAUUUCAACAGAUCAGAAUUUAAUCAACCCUUUUUUAGACCAUUUAUACAAAAAUCAACUAAGUUACACAAGGGUUAAUUUAACUAAUUAAUACUGGCAGCUUGACCUAUUUUCAUUAAAAUAGUCAUAUCUCAAUAUAUCCAAAUCAAAAUUAUGAUCUCUUUAAUGCGUUAAAAACUAGACUUGAUAAACUUUCUAACCAUAUAUGGCACACCUUGUAAUUCCUUGUAGAUUAGUUAUAACAAUUUUUGAAAUCCAUGUCAUAUACUAUUGUCAAACAGACUGUAUACCUUUUAAUAAAAAUUAUAUAUUUAUUCACAGGAAACUCCAAAUCCAAUUCCGCUUAUUUCAUUGGAAAGUAGACUCAAUAAGCUUUCCAAACAUAUAUGGCUUAAUAUGUAAAUCCUUGUAUACAAAUUAAAAAGAAUUUCGUAAUUCAACCCUGAUGUUGUUAUCUUACAACCUGCAUAUCCUUAAGUUAAAAUUAGACAACUCUUCAUAGAAAACUCGGAUUUAACUUUCGUUUAUUUCAUUAGAAACUAUAUUCAACAUGCUUUCCAAUGAUAUAUAAUAAUCACAGCAAUAAUCUAUCCAUUAAUACAAAAUUCUAUUUUAAUUCAUUAUUACAGAUCAUAAUAUCUCAUCUAAAAAUAGAAUUUAUCCUUCAAUAUCUAAAAAUUCAAAUCCUUAUUUUCAGCCUUCAAACUCCAUUCAAUAAUCAUCAAUAAAUUUUAAAAACAUGAAAUAAAUAAAGCCUAGUAAUUUACUCAAAUAGAUCAUGAAGAUUAAUGAAAGAUUUUAUGAUUUUUCUUGGUUUUACUCUCAAAACUUCAACUCCAAAUAAUAGCAAUCAACUUGAUAUUUCUUUUUAAAUAAAAAGAAGGUAUGUACUCAUCUUUAAGGGAUUAACUUGAUUGUAGCCUCUGAUUAUGAAUCUCUAACUUGAUUUUUCAUAUUCUCUGACCCUAAGAAAGAUGAUGAAGAAGAACUCUAUUUUUUUUUUAUUUCACGAUAGUUAAGUUUUUUUUAUUUAAUAUUUCAGUCUUUUUUUUUAUUAAAUAAUAUCUUAAUAAACUGAUGGACUUUAAUAUUAAUCUAACCCAAUUAUUAUUUAGACUAAAGUAUUACAGAAAUGUAUGCUUUUUCUUAAUGACACUUUUAUUUUAGUUUUUCAAGUUAAUUACAAUAAAAAGUGAGCAUGUAAUUUGUAACUUAGAUUCUUUUAGUAUUAUCUAGUAAGUUAACCCAUCCUAAGUUUAGUUUGUCUAGCUAGGUAGGUUAAUGAAUUUGAAUAGCUAAGUAGAAAUGAUCAAAUAAAGAGGAAAUUAAUCCAAGUAACUAGAAAGAGACAGAGAGAGUGAUAUUUUGGCAGGUAGAGUCCAAAGUUGGAAUUAUGCUUUUGGGCUGAGGCAGAGAUAGGGUGAAUUGAUUCUGAUCUGAUGUCUCGAGGUGCAAACAAGAAACAAAAAAAAAAAAAAAAAAAACCCAAGGGCUGGCUGGUUGUGGAGGGAGCAUCGAUAGUCGACAGGGAAGUCACUCUCAAGAAGACAAAGACCUGACGCCCCAAACUUCCAUUGCCAAAACCAAGAAAGUUGUACAGUUAAUAGUCCCUGUCAGUCAAGCCAUCAAUACCUGCAUGCCUUCUCUGCUAUCAUGUUUACAAACUGAAAACUAACUACUGAAAAGAAUGAAUAUUGAAUGAAGAAGAGUAGUAUUGUCUUCUCCAUCUUCUCUUUUAGCAUGUAUAAGUUAACUUUUUGGUCUGGCUGCAAUUAAGGGAAAGGACUGUAUUUUAUCUGUAUGUAUGUCAACAUGUUGUCUUAAGGAGUAAUGUUGGCGAUGGCUGAAGACAUUCCGAUCGAGAAAGCGACAAAUGCAAAGAUCCUUCUAUCUCUCUCUUUUCUCUCAUUGGAUUAAAAAGCCUUUUUUUUUUUCACUCACACACUGACACACUCUCUAUGUACAAGUACAUAGGGAGACUUUUUUCAUCCACUUACUAUGUGGAGUAAUAAAUUGUUGCAAAAUAAUUGAAUUGGAAAUCCGUAAAUGAAAGUGAUUCUUUUGUCUGUGACUAUCGAUCUGUUUCCGUGCCUGGUAGCUGUAACUGUAAACAAAGGUCUUCAUUCUCACAUACCUUAAUUUUCAAUAAAAGAUAACUAAUAAAAAAAAUUCAUAGCUUUGAUUAUUCUUGAUUAUUCCAGGAGGCAAAAUCAAUUGAGAACAACUCUCAAACUAAAGAAAUUAAGGUCGUAAUGGGUGUGACAAUUGUGUUAUAGUCCAAGAAAUGUUGCAUUCUUUUAUGAGGAAGAAAGGGAAAAUGGGGCAAAUGGCCAUCAAGUUGGAUCUUGAGAAGGCUUAUGACCGUUUGUAAUGGAGCUUUAUGAGGAAAGUCCUAACUUUCUUUAAUAUUCCCCAACCUCUUAUAACUCUUAUUAUGAGCUGUAUUUCCUCCUCAACUAUUUCGAUUAUGUUGAAUGGAGGUUUGCUCAAAAAACUGGCGCCUUCUAGAGUUUUAAGACAAGGGAGCCGUUUAUCCCCCCACUUGUAUAUAAUGUGCAUGGAAUUUUUGGGCUUUCACAUUCUUGAAUCAUGUGAUGAGAAGAAAUGGAUGGCUAGUAAAACUUCCAGAAAUGGUCCAACUCUCUCGCACAUUUUAUUUGCGGAUGAUGUCAUAUUAUUUGGUAGGGCGGAUAGUAAGACUCCAGGGGCUAUGAGAGAGGUGCUGACAAAUUUUUGCACGGAAUCGAGGCAAAGCAUUAACCUUGAAAAAUCGUGGGUCUACUUUUCACCAAACACUAACCAGGAUCAAAGGCAUAUCAUUGGCACUGUAUUGGGAAUCAAAGAAACAAAUAAUCCUGGGAAGUAUUUGGGAUUUCCUCUAAAUAAGAGCAGAGUUACCAAAUGGGAUUACUCUUUCAUAGUGGAAAAGAUCCGAAGGAAGUUAGCUGGGUGGAAAGUGAACCUCCUCUCAACUGCAGGACGGCUGACCUUGAUUAAAUCGGUUACCGAAUCCAUUCCCACGUAUUUUAUGCAAUGUCGAAAGCUCCCAGCUAGCAUUUGCAAUGAGUUGGAUCGUACCAACAAAAACUUUCUUUGGGGUGACAUGGAACAAAGGAAAAGAGUACACCUCUUAAUUUGGAGUGUAGUUACUUUAAGCAAACAUGAGGGUGGUUUAGGGUUGAAAGAGGCUAGGGUUUAGAGCCAAGCACAACUAACAAAACUUGCUUGGAGAUUCAUGCAUCAAAGCGAAUCUCUAUGGGUUCAAACGUUGAAAGCAAAAUACUUAAACCAGAGAAGCCAAGGGAUAGAUCCAGCUACAGCAUCAGUGACUUUGGAAAGCUAUGAAAUGGUCUGGGCCUAUUGUAGAAAAAGGGCUUGGUUGGAUCGUAUGAGAUGGGACCUUUACGAGGUUUUGGCAUGAUAAUUGGACCGGGAUUGGUAGCAUUAGGUCCAUGAUCCAAGGACCAUUAAACAAGCAUGAUAGCAAUGUGGACGUUAGACAAGUUCUGACUAGUCUACAGUGCCAACAUGACGCCACCAUCUCGUUCAUCCUCCCUCAAAUGGUUAUGGAGACCAUUAGAGCAAUGCCAAUGCAACUUUGUGGUCAGGAGACUGAUUUCUCCUGUAGGACAGCCUCUGAUACAGACUCGUUCACCCUUAAAUCUGCUUACAAACUUGUGAAAGGAGACUCAAAAAAACCAACUAAUGUCAAAUGGGCAUGGUUUUGGAAACUCAAAUUCCUUCCGAAACUCAAAAUUUUCAUUUGGGAAUGUAUGUACGAAAUUUUGCCUACUAAAACGUUCUUAAGGAAAAGAGGCUUGAAUAUACAAGAAGAAUGUGUGUGGUGCAACUGUGAACCAGAGGAUAUCCAGCACCUCUUCAAGGACUGUCAAAUGUGUCAAAAGUUAAUGGGUGAAUUAACAAGAUGUCUUAAAUCUCCAUUCUCCCCAAAUCAGUUUUAAGGAGUGGAUCAAAAGAAAUGUUAAUUGCAAGAACAGAUCAAGCCUUCAUGGUAUCCCAUGGGGCCUGAUGUUCAUGCACAUUUUGUGGGAGAUCUUGCUUGAAAGGAACCAUCGUGUCUUUAAGGGUCAGAGAGUUGAGGAUAACAUCGUUCGAAGAGCGAACGAAAGAGUGGCCGAAUACUUUGCCAUGAACCAAAAACCUAUAAGAGCAAACAUGUCUUCUUUUAUUCCUAUUCGUUGGAAUCCACCUGAUGCAGGCUGGUACAAACUCAAUACAGAUGGUUCAUCGAUGGGAAACCCAGGCAAAGCUGGAGCUGGAGCUGUCAUCCGUAACCAUGAAGGAAAAUGGGUCGUUGGGUCAUCUAGAUUUAUUGGAGUUGCCACGAACAUUCUUGCUGAGCUGUGGGCUCUAAGGGAUGGACUGUUGUUGGCUCAACAUCUCAAUAUUAAGAAACUUGAUAUUGACCUGGAUGCUUCUGUUAUCAUUUCUAUGAUUAAAAGUCAAUCUCCUCCUAAUCCACUUCUACUGCCAUUGAUCUCUGAUUGCCAGAAUCUUAUAGAUGCCUUUAACCAACAGCGGAUGAAACAUGUUUUCAGGGAAGGCAAUAGAUGUGAUGAUGCUCUCGCGUGUUUUGGAAGUAGAACCUUAUGUAAUAGUAUGAUGUGUAAUGAGGUCUGUUAUAUUAAGUUUCAAGAACCUCCCUCUUUUGUUCAUUCACUGCUGCAGGAGGAUGUAGCUGACUUUGUCGUGUUUCGUAUUAUUUAUUAAGUUAUGAUAGUUCCGUCUUCACACCCAAAAAAAAAAAAAAAAAAAGAAAUUAAGGAAUUAGACAAAAUUGAUGUUUGUGUGAUACUUACGAUAGUGCAAUAUAGGUUCAAUUUGUGCGAAUUAAACAACAUUAAAUUAAUUUUUUUGUACCGACACCGCAUCCAACCCACGGUCUUUUUUAGAUGACAAGAUAAUAUACCUCAAGUCAAAAUUACUUGGUUAUUAUUUUAAGUGAAGAAGUUAAUUACUUCUAUAUAUGAUUCCAUGCAUAUGCAUGCCUCCCCUUAUUUUCUCUCUCAUAAAGCUGUUGGUUGCAUCCAUCGUGCAUGUGGCUGUUAGCAUUAUACUAGCUGGUCUAGUUGAGAAAUUAAAUUAGAAUAGAAUUGAAGAUGCAGAUGGAGAAGGAGAAAUUCAUAUCAGGGAAUGAAAAUGAAUCCCCGCCCCGGUGGUGCCGCCUUGGAGAAGGAAACGGGCUACAGAAAUGGCAACACAUAAUGAUAUUACACAAUUCAAGCAAAAUGAGGAGAUACAUGCAAACACCAUGAGAGGUGUUGGAGGUGUCAGUCAUACCAAUUGCUGAGGGCUGAGGACUGAGCACUGAGGACUGAGGGUCGCCCGUUCGGCCAUUUCUUAAUGCUGGGUGGUUUUUUUUUUUUUUUUUCUUUUAUGCCUACAAGGUAAAAUUUAUAGCAUAGAACUUUAACCCUCACUUACUCCUUCCUCCUUAUAGUCCGUCAUUUUCAGUCUCCGCUCCUUCAACUUCAAUUCAACUCGAGUUUUUCACUAUUACGACCAAAUUUUUGCAACUGGUCACACCAAUUAAGUUAAUAAAUUUAUUCAAAAAAAAAAAAAACAAAAACAAAAACAAAACAAAAGAAAGAUAUCUGCAGAUCACUCACUUAGGUUACAGGCCGAACAAAACCCAAUCCAGCCCUACCAUUGGGCCUUAAUUGGAAAAUCAAUCCCAAUUCUUAAGCCUGCCUCGGAACGCUCAGGAGUAAGAAGUAAUGUAACUUUGAUCCAGGCUGGGGGAUGGGGGUGGGGGUAACAAAAUUUCUAUGUCCAUGAUCCAUCCCAAAAGAUUCAAACCGCGCCAGCUUAAGCCAAUGCUUGGUGUUAACAGACAGUUCUUGACGAAGACCUUAUUUACCCCUCUGCUUCAGCACUUUUAACUGGUUGUGCUUGUGCCCUUCCGAUUUCUAUCAAUUCUCCCUGAUUAUCAACAUAGUAAAGUUUCUUUCACUUUUGCUUAUGUUACUUAACCCAUUAACCCAAAAAAAAAAAAAAAAUACACCUCGUCCAUAAAUUAUGCCAUCCCACAACCAAUUACUGUUUGAGAACUUAAGAGGGUUUAGGAUCACGAAAAAUCUAACCCUUCAGGUUUAGGCCAUAAAUUCAAUUGCAAUAGCAAACACGUCAAUUUAGCAUAAAUAUUGUUUCAUCUAUAUAACCAGCUUUUAGAGGACCUGUUUCAGUUUAUAAAUAACCCUUUCAAAUCCACAGAAACAACAACAAACUUCUCAAAGGUGUUUUCUCUAAUAUCCAGACAAUGUUAUUUCUAUUAUUUACUAAUAUAGCGAUCAAACAUGACAUCGUGGCAGACCCUUAAUUCAUUGCAUAUUUCUGGGUCCACGAGCGGGCAGUGCUCUCAUAUUUAGCUCUAUCAGUCUUGUACAUGUGAGCAAUCUCAGGCACCAGAGGGUCAUCGGGAUUUGGGUCUGUAAGAAGUGAGCAUAUUGACAGAAGAACCUACAAAACAGACAGUUACAGCUAAUUAAAAGGUUAUGCAUGUGAGAAUAUAAUAAUAUUCAAGGGCUUUGUUAGGAUUGGAAUUAUGUUAAUCAAUGAUGAACAUGGUGUCCAUCUAUGAUUCAUGCAGAUUACAUAAUGGGAAUUAUAUUAAGUGUAUUACCUUGGAUAUGGUAAGGGCAGGGCUCCACUGCUCCUUGAGAAUGUCAAGACAGAUGCUUCCAUUGCUGUUGAUGUUAGGAUGGAAAACCUUUGUACGGAAAGAAACCUUUACAGAAGAUAAUUACUACAAUCAGGUAAAAUAGAAUCCUAAGAAUCACCUACUUUUGCAUAUAAUAGAAUAUAUAUAUAUAUAUAUAUAUAUAUAUCUCACAAGGAAAUACCAUAAAUUCAGCUUAAGAUAGAAAAAGUAUAACUUCUGCCAAAAUAAGCAGACAUGGCAGGUAAUAGACUACAUUUUUAAGUAACAAGAGCACAGGCACAUAGAAGACAGCAACAAAUUCCAACAAAGAAAAAAAAAAAAGCUAGCUAAUACAUGUUCAAGACAUUCGUUUAAACUCUUAAUUAAACCAAUGUUACAAAAAUAUGGACUAUUUUAGCAUACUAAAAAGAAAUCCACUCCCCUUUAUAAUCAGAAGCAGUGUUCUUUUUUCUCUGUAUUCUCUGUUUGUUAAAGCUGCUAUCUCAGAAAAGAUUUAAAUCUCUUUCAUGUGAUAAUAACACAAAAUCUAGCUUUAGCCCAACCACCAACCAUCCAAACCAAAUGAUACUGAUGUUUCAAUUAUAUAUAAAAUAAAACAGAUCUGAUUAGCAAGAGAAGAAGAGAAACAUUUCCAAGCAUUCCAUGACAUGUGCACAAGAGAUUUCUUGAUAGGCAGUCAAUCAGACACAUAAUAGUUGGAUGAAAUACAUGCUUUUUUUUUUUUUUUACCUUAGGUGGCUUGAACGGAUAGUCUGGGGGGAAGUGAAUGGCCACAAGGAAGACUCCUCCAGCAAAAGGACUGUCUGAUGGGCCCAUGAUUGUUGCUUGCCAGUGGAACAUAUCAUCAGCAACGGGGCCUGUAUACAUGCAGUAUUAUUUUAAAGAAACAAUUAAAUUAUUUUUCAUGAAAAGGUGCAAUCUGACCAUGUUCUCUAUUCCAUAUAUUGGCCAUUCUAAGGGGUUUUUGGAAAUAUUAAUCAAAACCCUGUCAGUAUCUAAACACAAUAACCAGUUGUCCCGUUCAUGGCAAAAACAGAUUACAGCUAACAACUUGUGGUAUUACUACUUGCCACUAAAGACUUACACCAUCUUGAAUUACCAACACCAAGAGAUUCAGUUAAACAAUCAACAACAAUAUAUAAUGGAUGAAGCAGAAAAUAAUCAUAUAGAUCGUAGGAACAUGAAUCACUAGGUUUAAUUAAUUCCACCAAAUUCAUAAUUGACUUAAAAGUAAAGAAAUUUAAUGAAUAAAGGAAACAAACCGGCACUGCAUGAAGCAGGAGGGUCCUUCUGCAGAUCCUUCAACUCCUUGUUAAUCCGCUUUGAAGCCAUUCAAAAACUCUCUAAAGUCUUCAACAAACAAUUGGAUGAUAACUGCAUUAAAAUCAUAUAUGAAAAAAUGCAAUAAUAAAGAAUCUAAAUUAAUAGUAACCCAACUAUCCUUUUCCAUUAAUAAAUUAUUUUAAUAGUCAACCGUGGAACAACAAAUAUUACAAAAUUUUUAAUUUUAUAUAAGAAAAACUCAAAGGUCUAAAAUUUUGAUGGAUUCAACAUAGUAUAAUACUACAAUUUAUUUAUGUGGAGCGGAGCUAAGUGACUCUAUUAAGAGCAAUUAAUGAUCUUUUUCCAGAUUUUCUAGGCAAGCAAACAAAGGCAUGGACAACAUAUAUUAUCAACAUAAAAAAAAAAAAAAAAACAGAGAUUAAAUUAAUAACAUAUAUUUGUAUUUUAUUUUAAAAAUUAAAAAAAAAAAAGAGAAAGAGAGAUGAAAACACCGAUCCAUCACCAAAAACAUAAUCGGAUUAAAAAAAUAGGGGAUAAAAUCAUAUUCUUGGGAAUCAAAAGCGAAGCAAAUAGUAGUAAAUCAAAAUGUAAAAAAUCUAAAAUAAGAAUAAAAAAGAAAAGAAUUUGGUGUAAAAAUUGAAUCGGAAAAAGAAAAAUCGAUGAAAAAGGAGAAAAGAGAGGUACCUGAAGGGGUGGAAAUGAGUGGAUUAGGGUAUGAAGCUAAAGAAGAAAAUAUUUGUGAAGUAAAAAAAUUCGGGGCUUUGGAUUUGAUAUUUAUUAUGAUUUAUAGAGAGAGAGAGAGAGAGAGAGGCGUUGGUGGCAGUGAUUCUCUGCCACGCGGCCCUCUUUAGUAUUUACUUGCCGCCUUCUUAUUCGCUCUUGUUUUUCUAAUUUCCAAAGGUGUCGGACGGCCUGAUCCGGGUGGUAUCGAGUCCAAUCCAAACAUGUUAUCAGCACUUUACGCGUUUAUAUUGGAGCGCAACUCAAUCCAAAUGUCGAGUCUAAGUAAAUCCAGAUAACUAAAGGAUAAAGCCCAAUUCUUUCAGGUCGACCCAAAUAGAUAUAUUCUUUAAAAAAUUAUAUUUUUAAUAUUUUAUUAAUUUUAAAAUACGAAUAAUUUAACAUAUAUAUUUUAAUAUUUAUAAUAUAAUAUUUCAUAUAUAUAUAUAUAUAUAAAAUAGCAAACUAGAGCUGUUGAUGAGUAUUUAGCUAGUAAAUUAAAAACUUAAUAUUGGGAGUUUGAGUAGGCCAAAAGAGGUGGUGCAUGUAUAUAUAUAUAUAACCUUGAGUUAUGUGUUCCGGAAAAGAGAUAAAGGAGAGUAAAUAAGCCUUUACCCCCCUUCCCCUUCACCCUCUAUAGUAGCCUAUUAUCCAAUACAAUAGAAAAGAGUAUUCUAUAUAGUGUCUUUUUUCUUGUCUUGGUUUUAGCUACUUUUCUCUUUAAGAAACUACCAUAGAGUUAAGGUGAAGUCCCUACUCUAUUCCUUGUCAGGAAUAGGGGACUUCCAAGUACGAGUUUAACAGAUAGUUAUGGAGUAGUCCCUAUUCUAUUCCGGACCUUUAAGAGUAGCCGGUCCGGAAUAGGGGACUACCUUUACGACUACGAGUUUAACUUCAGAGAAUAGCAGUUAUAGUAGGUAUCGUGCAUUCUAUACCUUUUAGAUACUGUUUAAAACGAGGAAUCUCCUUCCCCCCUCCUUUUCUAGACAGCUAUCGUUAUCGCUUUUGCUUUCGGAACCCUGCGUUCCCCGAUGGAACAGGGGAACUCCGGAUAGACCCCUUCCUAGACUCGAAAGAGACUAGAAGGAAUUCGUUCUUGCUUGACGGACCCCUGCGUUCACCUUCGGUUCUCUCCGGACGGACCCCUUCGGCGGACCCCCUGCGGGGCUAACCCGUACCAGUCCUAUCAAACGAGACUGAAAAACAAGUUAUUGUCUCUAAUUACAUAAGUGACUAAUGAACCUACUAGUAGCGGAAUCAGCUAAUCGAUAAGUGAAAGAGUCUUUAUUCAAUAAACUCAAAAGCACCCUUCUCACUCUUCUAUAUUAGCUGCUAGCUUAAAGGCUCAAGCUACUAUUAGACAAGACGGCAUUAGUUGGGGUAUGACAUCAGGAGAGCUUUGACUUGGGAUGGGUUCGACCCAUCUGUUUCAUAUACCCGUCAGGUAAAUCCUGACACGCAUGACCGAAACGACGCCGGCUCCAUACUGGAAACAUUACUAUCUUGUUCAGCAUAAUAUAAUGGUGAGUUAUGGUUUUUAGUCGAAGAAGAGGAGUCCAGGAAAGGAAACAAAGAAAAGGGAAGCUACAAUCGUGAGAGUGCCAUGCCCAUGACCCUCUCACUCGAAAGACGAGGUUUACGGCUGUCUUAUCUCUCUUCCCUCCCUACCAAUUAGUAGUCCGGGAGAGAAGAGAGGACAGCCUAAAGCCUCUACUCGUUACUGUGCCAUUUCGAUGGCCCAGUAACUCCUUUUUCGCUCUUUCCUGUCCUCUCCUCGCUCCUGUGCCAUUUUGAUGGCCCAUGAGCUCCUCUUCUGGACUCGUUAGAGAGGUUCCCUUGCCCCAAGGAACCCUCUCUAACUCCAUACUCGUUCUUUUGCUGAGCAAAAGAGUUCCAGGUGGUGAGGUAGAGUGAGGGAUUGCCCUCGCCCUUCGGGCUCCUUGAGUUAUGUGUUCCGGGGAAGGGGUAAAGGAGAGUAAAUAAGCUUUUAUCUCCCUUCCCCGGAACACAUAACUCAAGGUCCUCGUAGAACGAGAGCAAUCCCUCACUUUACACCCUCUAUAGUAGCUAUUAUCCAAUACAAUAGAAAAGAGUAUUCUAUAUAGUGUCUUUUUUCUUGUCUUGGCUUUUAGCUACUAAACCCUUUAAGAAAAAACCAUAGAGCUCUGCUUCGGUCCACCACCUGGGGGAUUAAAAAGGGGGUUUUUUUUAGUUUUUUCAGUUGUUUUCUUAGUUCUCUAAGGUAGUCCUGCUACGGUUCCAUAGAGAUCUUAUAAAGACAACCCGAGAAGUUAGAAAGAGGAAGACAUAAACUAGAAGGAGAAAGCCGAAGGAAAAAACAACUAGGAAGGAAAGCCUUAAAGAUACUAAUAGCUUUUUAAGGUGUUUCUUCAUCCUCCCCCCGAGGGGGAGAGAGGGGGUAACGUCCUUUUCAAGCUAUUCGAUUCGUCAAGGGUAGUCCCCUAUUCCGGACCGUCUACCUUUUAGGUCCGGAAUAGAGUAGGGACUACUCCUCUCUUAUUCCCAAGUCCUCUAUUCCUUCCCGGCCCACAAUAAAGGGAAGGAAUAGAAAAAGGACUUGACCGCUUUGUUAUUCCUGGCUUUCUUUCGAUCGGUUGUUGUCUUUUCUUUCCCUUCUGUCUUGUCUUCUCUUGCCUUCCUAAAGUCCCAAACGAAAAAACCCCAAUCCAAAUCCCAAUUCCCAGUAUGGAGCCACCUUCAUUCACCCCGGCAUGCCCACUUCCUUAGCUUCGUACUCUUUUUUUAAGUUUAAGGGAUAGUUGCCACCUCAACUAUCGAGCUACCUACCCAUCUCAGCUAGCUAAGCCUUCCGGUCCAUAGGUAAACGUCCGCCUUCUUGUAUUUCCAGCCGAGUCUGAAAGUCGUAUCUUGUUUCUUAAUUGAGUGACCUUCCUGAUUCUAAAGUCCUACUAUCAAACGUUACUCCCACUCAGAAUGGCUACUGGACAAGGAUGGGAAAGCAACUUCCCAGGAACUUGACUCAUCCAAAUGAGACUUGAUCCCUACCUCUAUAAGUCGGAUUCUAAGCGCUACCCCCUGCAUAGGUAGUACUCCCUUCCUGUUUCCUUAUCUUCUUCUCGGUCCCGGUAUAGAACGGAAACAAAGCCAAAUACGUCUUAACCCAUCUAACAAGCACUUAUAGAGCACCGCAGAUCCCUUUCUUCUUGUUAGCCCCGGAGUUAUAAGAAACUUGGGGGUAUCUCAAGUAAAAUAGAUCGAUCCCGGAUCUAACACAAUUGCUUAAGAUCCAAGGGUUAUGUCGAUAUCUAGCGUGGCAUGGUGCGUACCGUCGUGAGAGUGAGUUCAAUCUUGUGUGUAAAUGAAUGAAAGUCAAGGUCUCCUAUUCUAUUUCGAUUUGACUUUCUACGGUGGCGUCAGAGGUUCGGUGAGUGGCAUUGCCCUCCUUAGCUUCUUCGUCAUACCGACCUGACGCCUGUUCGUUACGAAAACAAGUGCUUAGCCGACCUGAUACCUUUUAUCCAGAGUGUGAAAACCACUCUCAACUAUGAAUAGGACUCUUAAUAGGCUUUACUUAAUAACGAGUAGGUUUCCUUCCCGGAAAAAGACCUAACUUUACGUAACCCGGACAUUAAAUCCCUGUACUUCUAACCCAGAGCUUCUUGCUUGAACGCUUGCUUGAAAGAAUAAGGUGUUUGAUCCUGAAAUGCCGCACCCUUAUUCGCAAUAGCCUCGUCAUGCCCAGCGGAUCCAAUAGAAAAGCGGUGACCUUUUUUUGCUUUGGGAACUGAAUAAUCGAUUUCUGGGGCCUACCUUUACCACCUGUAGUCACAUCACCUAGGGCACAUAAAUAAUUGCAUGACCCGGAGAGGAGACCCACGCUAGCUCCUUGACUAAGUACCGCCCCGAUCCGACCUGUACAACUACCUUUCCAAACCCUGACCUGGGCAACCAGAGCGCCCACCUAUAUUAAACUAAAAAGUACAUGCCACCAC
rnacentral:lncRNA from 1 species